GACAAUAUUUCUAUGACUGAAAGAUCAAUCAGCGUUUGAAACUUCGGUGUAAUUGUUCUCAAGUAGGCCUUCUGAGGGUUGGUAGCUAGCUCAUUAUACUCGGUAGUACCUGCAAUAUGUAAAAUAUUUGAUUUUAGUCGCGAUAAAAUAAAUAUCAUUUGAUAUGAACAAAUUUUGCAGAGACUAAAACAAAACACGUACCUUUCUCAGGCAUUAAUCGCCUACUAAGAGUUGGACGGUUUAAUAUGAAACCUCCAUACGGAUAUUGUCCAAAAUUAACAGCUGCAUGAAGAGCUGAAGCAGUCCAUAUGAUAAUACUGCAAACUUGAAUCAACUCUUCGCGAGUUUGCAUUUUCGGCCACCAUGGCUCGUCUUUCUUGUCACCAUGACCCACUUCUACAACUUCUUUCCACCAAGAUUGGAGUUCAGAGUCCUGCUGAAUUUUUUCAUCUGAUGUGAAGUAUAUGGAGACGUAGUCUUGUACCCAUGUCUUAAUAGCAUCCCAAAUGUCAAGUCCAUCAACAGCAUAAGGGUAAUCCUCUAUGAGUAGACGAAGACCGUGAGGGGAAGAUGAAUCCGCAACUGCUAUUCCCCUAAAUAAACAAGAUCACAAUAAUUAUACUGGUUAAAUAUAUUGUUAGUCCUUAUAAAAUCAUGAUCGUUCAACUUUAAUCAUGAUUUUGAUAUAUUAUUUAUUGGUGUAUAUUUGUAAGAAUUACCUUUUGAUAAGAUCAGCAGGGAGGGCUUGGUCUGUAAAAACCCAAUCCUUAUAAACUUUUGAAGAUAUCUCCAUAGCAUACCCUCCCCACAAGAAUGUCUUUUCAAUAAUACCAUCUGCAUUGACUAAGGAUGAUCUAGCAAGUGCAUUUAUAUUCAUAGUAUCGCGAUAAUGUGGAUGUAAUAGUUUAUAAAUAGGAUGAAGCACACUAAGUUGUCUGUUUGUUGCUAUAACAAAUGGUUCAACAACUGCAUGAGUAUUUAACCUGCAAUCCAUCAAAAUUAUUCAUAAUCAAUUCAUAUACAUGAAGUUACAUUUCACUAAUAAAAAACAUAUAAAUUAGUAAGGAAAAUUUAGAUAGGAAAAACGUGUAAUUCUUCUCUAAUUCUGUCACUAAUUUUGUAACAACCGAAUUAGAGAAGGAUUCCAUUUGUUCAUUCACUAACUUUCAGUGCUAAUUUUAAUAUUUCGAUGUUUUACCAGUGGCUGACAAGUUGGUGAAAGCAUGAGUCAUUUACUAUAACAUAAGCCUUGGCAAGUAGCCAAACCGUAGCUUCAACACCUUCAAUUGCAGGCAAGUAGACGUUACUAACAACACCAAAUUGAUCUCCUUGAGGAUGUGGAAGACUUAACUCAAUGGCCAAAGGCUUUAAAGUUCCAUCACUUUUCAAGAAAAGGACGGUUCUUGAAGCAUAGGCCUUUGUGGAAGUUGAGUUUAUAAGCCUUAGAUAUGGAAUUAUUGUGUCAUGGUGUUCUAGCAAGAACAAUUUUUUGUUUUGUAUAGCCUGUUCAAAAAAUUAAUCACUUGGUCAAUUCUAUUCAUUGCAACCAUACCACAAUAAAUCAAAUUUGGCUAUAAAGAAACAAAAAUGCUUAUUGGUACCUCAUCAACAGUGAGACCGUCUAAGUUAAGCUGUAUGUGCUCUCUGGUUAUUGUGCUAGUAUGAUCACCAUAGACUGCACUAUCUAGCUUACUUUUUGGAGGAAACUCCUGUAAUAUUAUUUUAGAAAAUCAUGAAAGAAUGAUGUUAACAAUUAGUUUCAUGUUUAUUAACAAUGAACUUGUUAAGCUUACUUGGAGGCUGCGAAUUAAGCCAGGAUUUACACCAGCAAGAAUCUCUCUUCCAAAUUCAUCAUCAGUCAUCCAUGCAGACUUACUCACUACUCAAAAUAAUAAUGAUUAGUCCAUAAAUUCUUCACUAAUUUUUUUUAUUAAAUUUUAGUCGAAAGUGUCAUUUUAAAAACUUGGAUCUUCUCCAACCCUUUCAUAGAUCUCUCCUGUCAAAUUUCAAUUACCGGAUUAAUCUAAAAACUGAUAAUAUUGAUAGAUCAGUAUUUAGAUUAAUUCAAUUGUCGAAAUAUGACAGGAGAGACAUGAAGGCGAGCAAAGAAUCCAAUAAGUGGUUGUUUCGCAAAAGGUAUGAUAUAGUGAUAUACCUUGAAUUACUUUAGGUGUAGGAAACUUGAGGAAUUGUUCACCAUCAGUUCUAAAGAUUUCUGAUAACACUGGUAAAGGACUAAUUUGGCUAAGUAUAUCUGUUGGUAGCUUAAUUCCUCCUUCAUAUAGAUCAAGCACAUCAUCAAAGCUAUCAAAUUCAUUCGGUGUGAAGUUCGUGUCAAAUACAGAUUGUAUCAAUGGAAUUACAUCUUGAGAAACAGACUUAAGUCCAUAAACAAGAAAGUCUGAGGAUUUCAAGUGGCCGAAAGCUUCAUCUCUUGGAAUAUACACACUAGAGCUCCUGCUCUCACUGUUAGGAUCUGUUGUGAUAAUUCAAUAAAAAUUAUAAGUAACAGUAAAAUAUUUUUCAUUAUAAUGAUAUUUUUCGCCAAGCUGUGGUAGUUGAGCGAUAAAAGUUUGACUUUGUAAACUCAAGCGUCAUGUUUAAAUUUCAUUUAAGAUAGUUGUAAAAUAAUCAUUAAUGUCCCCGUUAUUCAUAGUAUUUUUCUGUCCUAAUUUUUUUAAAAAAGAAAAUAACUUCAUACCAUUACAUGCUAUGUAUCAAUGAGAUUCAUUCCUACAAAUUUUGUAUAAAAAAUUAAGACAAAAUCUAAUAAAGUAUUUACUGAAGUUUAUUAAAGAGAAGAAAAAAAAGAGAUGAGACAUGAAUCCAAGAACAUAGUCGAACCUGUUGCUGUUGGUUUUCUGCCCGUUCUUCCCCUACGAGGAUAAGGAAGGCUGCUAGAUCCUCCCAAAACUGGACGAGCGUAGCUUUGACCCUUGUCGGGGUCACCCAAAUCAUUGUAAACAUCAUAAUCAUAAACUCUGUCCCAUUCUUUGCGCUCCCCCGUUCCAUCUCCUCUUAAAGUCUUCAACUCUAAUUGUCUAUAGUAGACAAGUGGAGCAGGUGUUUCACUUGGUAGAAAAGUCUGCAAUAUAUUUUAUGUAUUUGAUGUUACACACUUUAAGAUUUUUUUAUUUUUUUUUAUUUUUUUAUUAUUGUUUGCUCAAAAAAAAAAGAUUUUUAUUAUUGGUAUAGUAUAUGUGAUGAUAAUGUAUGACAUCGGUUAGCUUGUUUCUCAAGCAACUAACAUAUUAAAUAACAUAUGCUCUUCCAUUUUCAAAAAUAAAUUUUUGUCACACUUAUUUGUUUAAUAAGGUGACCACACUCACCACCUUUAAUCAAUCAAAUUACGAGAUGAGUGUUUGUGAAAAAAAUAAAUAGAAGUGAUGUAUACAUAUCAAUCAUUCAAGCAAACUUGAAUAGAGAUGAGAGAAAUUUUUUCUAUACUAUAAAGUAUUAAAUUCAAAUACUAUUAGGUAGAUAGAUAGAUUGCUCUUACAUUGUUGGCGAAGAAAAUACGAUCAGUUAGGUAGUUUUUCGCAUUGUAAACCCACGAGUUGCAAACAAAGUGAAUGGUUCCAACGUUUGGGAUAUCAUCAAGAGUCAAACUCACAAGGAGGAACUCAGUUGACAUAAAGUUCUUAAUUUUGAAUGCUCCAGGAAUUCCAAAGUUGCUAUCAUAUUCAAAUUCAAUGCUGAAAGCUGUUUGUUUAUCUCCCAAUGUUGGCAAAUUGUUAAUUGCCUCUUUUAAAUAAGCUUCUUUUCCAAGUUUCCCUUCCCCAGUUACUGAAAAAUAUGCAUAAAUUAAAACAUAAAGUUACUUAUAAAGCAUAAAUUAAUUUGUACCAAGAUGGAGAAUAAUUUUAGUUAGUCAAGAGUUAUUGGGAAAAAGGAGCAUGUUCCUUAUCUCAAACAUUAAUUUUUCACUUUCUAAUUCGACAAAAAAAACUUACACCCAAUUUUAGUAGAGCUAAUUAACUGGAGACAAAUCGAUCGACCCAGAAAGGAAGUAAGUGUAUCAAAAAUCGAUCCAAACCCAUCUAAGGCUCCAUCGAUAAUCUUCGUAGGAUCAGUUAAGCUGUUGAUGUCCAAGACAUUCUUCUGCAUCAGCACCAAUGUGCCUUUGAUCUUAUCAUUCCCAAAUAGGAAAGACAUUUUUGCUUACCGAUCAAGCCACAAUAUUGUUAAAAUGGAUAGGAAGCUUGUGAGAAAGUCAAGCACACUCACUGCGUAUUUAUAGGCCAACAAGUAGUGUAGAGCUGUCAAAACGGGCCGGCCCGUAUGGGCCGGCCCGUUUAGCCCGAAUAAAUAUAGGGCUUGGGCCUAAAAUAUUGAGCCCGAAUUUUAAUAGGGCUUUUUAGCCCGGCCCUUAAAAGCCCGGUACCCGUUAGGGCUAGCCCGAAUGGGCCGCGGGUAGCCCGUUAGCCCGCAUAACAAAAAAAAAUUCUAUAAAUUAUAUAUAUUUUUCAAAUAAUUAUUUACUUAGUUGAUUAUCAAAGUAUAAAACAAAAGUGAAAAUUCAAUGAAUUAACACAAAUAUAAAUGUAAUAUAAAAUUAUAUUUAUUCAUUUCGUUAUUUAUAGUUUUAAAGAUCGAAUAUAUAAAUAUCUAUAACCAUAACAUAUCUAAUUUAUUUAAAAUCAUUUUUCUCGUCGUUUUAGUUUACGACGUUUGUACGAAAAUGUUUACAAUUUACUUUUGUGCUAGACAUUAAUUAAACAUAUUAAAAAUAUUAUUUAUAAAAAAAUUAUAGUAGUGUUUUAUAGUAUUUUUUAAAAUAAAAAAAAUAUAAUUUUUAAUACGGGCCGGCCCGUUUAGCCCGCGGCCCGUGUAGGGCCGGGCUCGGGUAGUAUAUUUCAAGCCCGUUUUGUCAACCGGGCUUUUUGGCCCGGCCCGCUAAAGCCCGAAGCCCGCUAGGGCCGGCCCGUUUAGGGCCGGGCCGCCCGUUUUGACAGCUCUAAAGUAGUGUUACAAUUUUGUUUUUAAUAACAAAUCAUGAGCUUAGAACUGAGAUAUUCCCAAGUACUUACCAUGUGCAAAAUGUGAAUGUUGAAAAUGAAAUAGUCUGUAUCAAACAAAGAAAGAGAUAAUAUUAUUUAAUCACUACAACACUCUUAUUCAUUUAGUGUAUUAUUUAUUCAUCAACAAUCAACAUUAUUAUAAACUAGCGUGCAAACAAAAAUUACACAUCAGUCCGAUUUUUUUACUCCCGUGAAUCUCGAUAUUUUUUCUUUCAAUUUUUCUCUCUGAUUUAGCCAAUAGAGAUAUCUGUCGAUGUCAUGUCACCUAGUGUUCUGCUUUAAAACUAAACUUUAUCUUAUUACAAAUCAGUCAUCAUACAAAAUAUUAAGGGGAAUUUCAAUCUUAGUGCACAAAUGCAAAUCUAUGUUUAAUUUUGAUUUAAUCAAGGACAUAAUUGCAAUAAGUAAAGAUAUAAUAACACACCUUAUAGAUAAAUGUAUAAUACACCAAAUAACCUGACGUGGCAUGACUUAAAUACACAAAUACUCGGUUGACCAUUUAACUUUACCUAAAAGACAUUUUCAUUAUUUCACCAUAAAAUUUUCCAACAACCACAAAGCUCGCCUUUCCGCAAUCGCCUUAAAGAAUACUCUUAUAUACAACAAUGAUGAUUUAACAUGUUCUAGGCUUAAAACUAAAACAAGUAAAACAUCUUCAAAAUAAUAUAGCUAAUGAUCAACCUCAAAACCCAGUUUUAUUAUUAAUCAUUAUUAUUUUAUAUAAAUACAUUUUCUUGAUAUAAUAAUUUAUGUUGGGGAUAAGAUGUUGAUAUUAAUUAAACCAGUGUUUUAAAACCUGGACCGACCCGGUCGGACUGGUCAUACCAGGAACCGGAGGGUGCAGCGGUUCGGACAGGCUACUAGAUUGGAUAUGGAAUUAGCCCGUUGAAAUCCGGUGUGACCCGGUUGGGUCAGUGGACGGACUGCUGAACCAGUUUAACCCACCCGACCCGUCCCGUUUUUUUAAUAUAUAGAAAAAUGAAAAGGCAAGGCAUAUAAAGACAAAAACCUUGUAACCAAAAAAAAAAAAAAAAAAAGACAAAAACCCUAGUAACACAUACUCCAAACCCAAAAGCGAUGGAAAUGAUGAAUACGGAUAUCAAGACUAUGACAAUUUGACUUCAUGGGCAUAAAUAGUUUAUUGAUUAGUGAAUUGUUAUAACUUAUUUGUGUUUCUGAUUUUUGUUGACUAUGUUUAGAACUUACUUGGGUUUGUAAAUCAAUUAUUUUUUGUUGACUAUGUUCAGAACUUACUUGAGUUUGUAAGUCUGUUAUAUUUUGAUUUCCAACAAUGUUUAGAACAUACUAUGUUUUAAUUUUUAAAGAUGGAAUCUGAAUUAGAACUUAUUUGUGAUGUUUUUUUAUGCGGUACUAUUGUUUAAUGUAUGAGUUCAUUUGAAUUUGGAUUGAAAUUAGCUUGAAAUUGAAUUGUGUUGCAGUUAAGAAAUUAACUUGCAAACUUGCAGCUAUGAAAAUAAAUUUUUUAAUGCACGAACUUCAAAUAGAAAAAAAUGAGAGGAUUUUUUUUUUUUUUUAUCAAAAUUUCAUUUUUUGUCAUAAAUAUUUUAUAUAGAUCGGGUCAAUAGUCAAGCGGUCUAACCAGUGACCCACUGGUUUGACCAGUAACCCAGCGACCCAAUACCUUGACUAGGUUGAUCUUCGGUCCGGGUUUUAAAAAAUUGAAUUAAACAUGUUUAUAUGCAUAUAUUUAUAUAGAAAUAGGGACAAAUAAAAUACUAUAUCCAUUAAUUAACUCUUAUUAUAACGAGGGAACAAUUUUGAUGCAUUGCCUUUGUAAAAAGGUUUACAAUGUCGAUCAAUCAUAACAUUUAUAUGUAUUACUUUCAAGUUAGAUAUGAUGAAACUAAUUUUUUUAAUGUUGAAUAAUUAUGAUUGAUUAACUAUGAAAACAACCUAGAGAAUUGCUGAUGAUACAUUGCAUAAGGUUGUGUCACACGAGUAAUUUAUCGAAAUGUCCCUCGACGGUUAACUGCCGAAUUAUGGAACCGGCUAUAGUUAACUACUGAGGAGCAUUUGGGUAAAUUAACUGCCGAGGAAUAUUUGAAUAAAUUACUCGUGUUUCUCAGCAAUGCAUAUGUGUCAGCAACAAUUCUCAACAAAUUAUGAUUAACUUACUGUGCAAGAACUUUUUUUUUUUUUUUUUGCUAAUAUAAAAUCUCUUUAUAUUAUCUGUGCCUAUGAAUUAAAUAUUUAAUUAAUGUCAAUUAUUGUUUUUUUUGACAAUAAUGUCAAUUAUUGUUGUUUUUUACUUUAAUUAAUGUCAAUUAUUGUUGAGCAUUGUUACUCAUAUUUUUCAAUAAUGACAACACGUACAAGAAAAUGCUUGUAUGCGAGAAUCGUGGUUCACGUGUACUUAAUUUUUUUAUCAAAAAAAUACCAAGAUGCCUUAGUGACUGGAAUAGUAGUUGACUUGAAACUUUUAUAACUUUUGUAAGUUACAUUCAAUAAAUGUGGGUAUUUAUCUGCUACAUAUAAAUAUAGGAGAUAAAUCUUGUACUGUGUGGAAAAUUGUUAUUUUGGUACAAUAUAAAUUUGUUUUUUAUUACUAGAAAAAUAGGAGAUAAAUCUUGUACUGUGUAUAAAUUUGUUUUUCCAAAUCCGGACCGGUGAUCGAUCCGGUCAAAGCAUUGGGUCGCUGGAUCAUUUGCCGAAUCAGUGGGUCACUGGUCAGACCGCAUGACUACUGAUCCGAUCUAUAUAAAAAUAUUUACGGAAAAAAAUGAAAAUUUUGAUAAAAAAAAAUCCACUAAUUUUUUUUUUUUUUUUUUUUGCUAUAUUUAUGUACAAGAUCAAUAAGUCGUUGAAUUAAUGAAAUGAAAUAUAUGAUUAGACUUAUUGAUCUAUGAAAAUACAGUCUUGUUAACGAAUGUCACGACAUAUUUUUUAAGGAUUUUAAAAUGAUAAAGGAACAUAUUAACAAGUGUUCUUAAUGUAAGAGUAUUUAUUUAAGCGUCUAAAAGUAGUAACUUUAAUAUUGCAAAUUGUGUAAUGAUUUUUACAAGUGUUUGCCUAAAAAGUUUUGAAGACAAAUUUUUUUGUUUUGUUGAUUUCUCAAACAAUGUCCUUAUGACCCUCCAUAAAAAAAUAAUAAUAAGGAUCUUGCUAACGAGUGCCCUCGGGGCAAUAGUUAAGGAAUCUACAAUUAAAAAUUUUGUCUUGGAAAUAUAAGGUGUUAUUUUGAUAAAGUAAUGAUUACACAACUUUUUUAUGAAAACUUACUUGUUUUUUGAUGCUUAACCAUUGUCCUUAGUACACUGGUUAGCAUUCUCCAAAAAAUAAUGCCCUUAGAACCCUUGUUAGCAAGACUUGAUAAGAAAUUAUUUCAUAAAACUGUCAAAUAUUUCAAUUUUCAAUAUAUUAAUUACACAAAUUUUUAUAAAAAAAUACCAUUUAAAUAUCUUAAAGAAUGUUUCAAUAGCACUUAUUAACAUUUUUAAAAAUAAACUAGUCUAUCUACCUUACAUGAGCAACUUAAUUGUGCAUAUAUAUUAAACAAAGUUGUAUGUAAUACUUAGCCUAUGAGACACCAAAGAAACAAAAUAGAUUUAACCUCACAUCAAAACAUCUAAACAUAAUCUUCAGAGUAUUUCAACUAAAACAAAAAUCUUUAAGAAAUAGACACGAAUUUACAACUUAAACCAAGUGGUUAAAUAGAAAAUAGAUUAAAAAGAAAAGCAGUAACUUAUAUAAUAUUUUUUCAAAGAGGAACUUAUUUAAAAUUUAUAGAUAGGUAUAUAUCUAUAUUUUAAAUAAGGAAGCAGUCUAUCUCCUCAAGAAAGGAAAUAAAAUAAGGUAGCGUCUAUCUUAUUUAAAAAGAAAAAUUGUAUGGCUUAUUUAAAAUUUUAUUGCAAAAGAGAUUUAUAUAUAAUCAAACUAUUAGAGUUAAGUGAUUAAUGAGCUUCGCAAAUGAAUUGUUUAGGAGAAUCUGGUUUCAAUUACUGAAUGAAACAAUUUUUGAUCAAAGUAUACUACUUAACUUACAUGUAAACUCCAAAUUACCAAGGUCCCUUUCUCCUUAGGAACCAGAGGGUUUAUACCAAGAAAAACGAGAGUUAUAUGUAAGUCUAUAUCUAUAACGAUGGGUGCUAUGAACCAGAGAUGGAGUUAGAAGGGGGACCAAUAGAGGCAACAACCUUCCCAAGUUUUUUCAAUUUUUUAAAUACUAGUAUGCAAAUUAUACUUUUUUUUUUUGUCUAUAUAUUUAUUUUUUGUGAACUUUGAAACAUUUGGAUUUUAGGUGUAAUUACACUAAUUCUUAACUAAAAUGUUUGACAACUAAUAAGAAAUGAAGUUUUGUCUGUAAUUUACAUAUGUACACUAAUCUUUAAUUAGAAUCUCCAUUUAUCAUUCCUAGUUGUUAUUUUGCUUUAUAAUUUUUGAAUCAUUGCAUGUGAGCUCUCGGGCAUUACCAAACAAUUUACUGCUUACAAUUUAAUCUUCCAUUUAUCUUCCUACUUUUGCAUUUUUUUUUUAAUAUUUUCUUUCUCCAGUAUACCAAAAUCAUAUUAGUAUGGUCAUUCUCUAACAAACCUCAAAAUUCUCAUCUCUUUUAUAUCGUUGAAAUUUCUUAAAAUUUGGAUGUAUUUUAACUUUAAUUAUCUCUUAUAAUUUCUUGUAUAUAUUAUAUGAAUUUGAAAAUUUAUUUUUCUUUUACUUAAAUGAUACUUUAAAACCUGGUCUUCCCUAAGUUUAAUUUUUGACUCCGUCAUGUAUGAACACUAUAUCUCUAACAUCCACCUUUUUUACUGGGUGAAACUCUUGUGGAUCCUACACUUUAGAAAUGGACCUCAUGUAAAAUGUAAAGUGGUGAGUCCAAACACGAAUUUUAAAGAUGUAUGCGUGGUUAAUUUAAGUCUUUUAGGGAGUGACGAUUGCCACAAAAUGACCGACCGCUUUGUAAGGAAGUCUUGGUGGGUAAAUGUGGUGAUAGAAUUCUAAAGUUGGUGGAUUGUGGAAGAGUUUGACUCUACAAAAGUGAUAGGUUUUUCUUGGAAGUUGCUUCUUGAUCAAAGUUCAGCUAGGAGAAAUUUAUUGUUGCAUAAGGCCGUUCCUUCAGAUUCUUGACUCUUUGUGUCUUUGUCAUCGGUCGGAGGAAUCCUCUUCCCAUAUUUUUCUCCAUUGCGAUAUUGCGUACAAUGUGUGGCCUUAGGGGUUCAAAUGAGCUUGGUUUUUCAUCGAUUACCCCUCAUAACUUGUUAAUGUAUCUAGAAAUUAUAAUAGGGGAAGCUAGCUAGGAACAACAAAAUCCAAAAGAGUUAUUGGCUAAUUUGGCACACUCUUACUUUGAUUCUUUGGAGAAUUAGGAAUAACAAAUGAUUCAAAGAUUUUUCAAAGAAUGUCAUAGAGGUGGUUGAAGAGGUAAAAUUGAUAUCAUAGAGAUGACGUUUAAUUAGGUUGAAAGUGAGCCUAUAUAGGAAUGAAAUCUGCACAGUAGUCCUCAAGGGCACCAUACCUGGAAUCCAAGGGUCUCUCCAAAACCAAUCUCCAUGCUCAUUAUCUAUUUGGUCUAGGUGUAUUAUGUGAUUACGGUACACAGGAGAACCAUUUGCAACAUCCUAGAUAUACAAAAAUACAAACCUUCUCAAACGAUACAAACCAACAAAAAAUAGGGGGACAAAUGCCACACCCAAAAGGAACAAGAAAAUAAAAGCAAAACAAAGUGGAAAAGGAAAAGAACAAGAAAAGUAUCUCAAAGAAAGACCAUGAGGCAUCUUGGUUAAUUAAAAAAACCAUGCUGAAGCAAAUAUUAUUCGGUUUUACUAAUUAAAUAAUAUGACAAAAUUAAUUUUUAAGUUUAAGGUGAAACAUGAAAGCUGCAUAUGAAAUCAAUGGUCUGGAAUGGUACAAGUACGACAGAUAAAAUAUUUCUUACAUUGAUGUUAAGCAAAACAUUAUAACAAUCAAACAAACAUACAUGCAUAAAAACAUGACCAUAGAUAGGGGUUGAGGGAAUUGAAUUCCUUCUUCGUAUGUUAUUCAUAGAAUUACUACAAGGGAACCUUUUUAGAUGGAGAUACUGUUAGGAAUGCCUCUGCAAGUCAAUCCUUCCUCACUAGAAGGAUAAAGCAAAGUAUACGGCAUCUUCACUGGUCCAUAUCGAUUCCUUAGAGUCUCAUCAUUGUUCCUUUGAGUGAGUUUUUGUUCAAUUUCAGCCAACUUUGUUCCGAAUCUCUUGAAAGCCUCUAAUGGUUGUGAAUCAGAAGUCCAAAGAUCACCUUCAAUUCUCUGUCCAAGGUAUUGUUCAUCAGAAGCAUGUCUUGACAAGACCUCUAUAAUGGUCAAGUCAGUUAGUGUGUCAUCUUUUGGUGUGAUUGUUCUCAAAAACGCCUUUUGAUAGUUCUUAGAAAGCUCAUCAUACUCGGGGGAUCCUUUCUUAGGCAUUAAUCUUCUGCUUUUAGUUGGUCGGUUAAGAAUGUAACCACCGUACGGAUAUUGUCCAAAAUUAACAGCUGCAUGAAGUGCUGAAGCAAUCCAUAUGAGGGUAGUGCAAGAGUCAAUCAACUCUGUGCGAGUUUGCAUCUUAACCCACCAUUUAGCAUUUUUCAAGUCACCGUGACCAACCUCUACAAGUUCUUUCCAAAAUGCUUGGAGUUCAGAAUCUUGUCCAAUAUUUGCAUCUGACUUGUAGUAGAAAUUCACAUAUUCUUCAACCCAUGACUUAAUAACAGCCCAUAUCUCUAAUCCAUCAGCAGCAUAAGGGUAGUCCUCUAUCAGAAGGCGAAGGCCGUGUGGGGAACUUGGAUCCUUAACAGCCACUCCUCUAGAUAACAAAAAAGGAAGAUAUCAUUAAUAUCAAAAUAAAAACUUUGAUAUCAAUAUAUUAUUAACGGAAAGUUUAAAAUUGCGGCAAAAUAGAGUUGAUGCGGCCACAACCAUUGAUGUUUAGACAUUAAAAACCUGAAUAUCCCAUCUUAGAUUGAGGUUGCGAACAAAUUUUCAAUCCUCUUUUUAACUAUUGAAUAUAUGUCUAGGAUCUAAUGUUUUUUAAGGUUACCUUUUGAGUAGAUCAUUAGGCAAACCUUGCUCUUUAAAAUUCCAAUCCUUAUAUAAUACAGCAGACAACUCUAGAGAAUAACUUCCCAUCAAGAACGUCUUCUCAAUAACACCCUCUGCAUUGACCAAAACAUUCCUUGCAAGUGCAUUAAUGUUCAUUGUGUCACGAUAGUGCGGAAGUAAAAGCUUAUGAAUAGGAUGAACCACACUAAGAUGCCUAUUUGUUGCUAUGAUGAAUGGCUCAACAACAGCAUGAGUGUUUAACCUGUCAGACAUAUAGAUAUUAAUGUAUAACUCAUAGAUAUAUAAAGCAUGUUUGACUCUCUAUAAUCUUUUCAAUUGAAUUUAUACCAAUGGCUGAUGAGUUGGUGAUGGCAAGAGUCGUUUACAACAACGUAUGCCUUGGCAAGGAGCCAAAUAGAAGCUUCAACACCUUCACUUGCAGGCAAGUAAAUAUCACUAACAGGACCAAAGCUAUCAGCCUGAGGAUGUGGGCUACUUAGCUCAAUGGCCAACGGCUUCAAAGUUCCAUCAUUUUGUAAGAAAAGGAAGGUUCUCGUAGCAUAUGCCUUUGUAUCAGCUGCAUUUAUUUUCCUCAGAUAUGGAUAUAACGAGUCGUGGUAAUCAAGUAUGUACAAUUUGUUGGUUUGGAUAGCCUAUUAAAAAAAUAUAUAAUUCAGUCAUUGCAAUAAUUUGAAUAAAAAUGAAACAAUUUUGCAAAACAAUACCAAAAUUAUUUAUUUCGAGUAUUGAUGUUAAAUUUUGUAAUUACUUGUUCAACUGUGAUGCCACCCAUGUUUUGUUGAAGCUGUUCUUUGGUUAUUGUGCUGGUAUUAUCACCGUAGAGUUGCCUAUCUAGCUUGCUCUUUGGUGGAAAUUCCUACAUUAAAUAUAUCAAGCAAUAAUAAGGUUAACAAUUACAAAACUACGAUGAAAAAUGGAUACAAAAUUCUUAUUUUAGUUUAUGUGUUUGCAUAACAAUUAUUAAACUAUUAAGUUUACCUGAAUUCUUUUGAUGAUGUGUGGAUUUACACCAGCAAUCAUCUCUCUUGUAAAUUCUUCGUCAGUCAUCCAUCCAGAUUGAUUCACUUUUCAAAGUAAGAGAAAUAUAAAAGUUUUAUGAAAUUAAUUUCUUUCCAAAUUUUGCAUGACUAAAUAUGUGUUUCUAAUGGAUACCUUUAAUGACUUUAGGUGGUGGAAACUUUAGGGCCGAUUCACCAUCAGUUCGGAAGAGUUCCUUGAAAAAUGGUAUAGGGCUAAGUUUGCUAAGUGUACUAGUAGGUAAUUUAAUCCCACCAUCAUAAAAUGAUCGCACAUCAUCAAAGCUGUUAAAUUCUGGCUUAUUGAAUUGUAAUGUAAUUGCAGAUUGUAAUUGAGGUAUGACAUUUUGAGAUACUGAUUUGAGUAUGUAAACAAGAAAAUCUGAAGACUUCAAGUGACCAAAUGAUUCAUCUCUUGGAAGAUAAAUAUACUCGCUCCGUCUCUCACUUUUAGGAUCUGCACAAAUACAAAAAUAGCAAAAUAUGCAUUAGCAAGAGGAAUGUCUUAGAAUCAUAAACAAAUGAAAAUUUGGAUCAACAUACUUAAGAUAUAACAUACAUAAAGUGUUUAAAUAAAAUAUAAAAGCAUAUAACCUUUCUUAGCUGGUUUCCUGCCGGUUCUCCCUCUUCGAGGGUAAGGCAAGGUGUUGGAUCCUCCAAUAACGGGACGAGCCAAGCUUGCUUUCUUGUCAGGAUCACCCACAUCAUUGUAGACAUCGUAGUCAUAGAUCCUUUCCCAUUCUUUACGCUCUCCUGUUCCAUCUCCUCUUAAAGUGUUCAACUCUUCUUGUCUAUAGUAGACUAAUGGAGGUGGUGUUUCACUUGGAAGAUAUGUCUAUAUUUAUAUUUUAGUUAAUAGUGUCAAAUUUUGGAAAAUGUAAGAUAUUUAAGAUGUAAGAUAAAUUUGAUAUUUUUUGAUAAUUACCUUGUUGGCAAAGAAAAUGCGUUCAGUUUUGUACUUUCGACAAUUGUAAAUCCAUGAGUUGCAAACAAAGUUGAUGGUUCCAUGGUUAGGAAUAUCUUCAAGUGUUAAACUUACAAGAAAGAAUUCUCCUAGCAUGAAAUUCUCAAUAUAAAAUGCUCCUGGAAUUCCCAUCUCACUAUCCCAUUCAAAAUGAACUUUGUAUGCAGACUGUCCAGCUCCUAGAAUUGGUGCAGAGGUAACAAAACCUUCAAGAAACGAUCUCUUUCCCACUUUACCUUUUCCACUUUCUACAAAUAUGUCACAAGUUUGUUUUUCAAUUUCAGUACAGAUUUAUAUAAAAAAAAAUAAAAUCAGUUAUGAUAAUUCUCAAAAGAAAUAUUAUAGCAAUUCAAAAUCUAAUACUUUUUUGCAGCGUUCAAUAUCUUUUUAGCUGGAAAAAAAUCACCAUUGAACUUAAAGAUUAUAGUAUCAUAUUAGUUAUGUCUGUAAAAUUUUAAGUAAAUUUAAAUUAAUUGAUAAAUAAUGGAGGUAUGUGAAGAUUAACUAUAUUUUUAUUAAACAACAUUAAUAUUAAAUUUCGUAUACGUCUCAAUAACAUAUAGAAAAAACUUUUGUUUUUUUUCUAAUCUACUUAGGGUGUUGCAGAUCCGUAUGCGCGCCAUUUGCCUAAAAAUAAUAACAUAUAAAAUAAUUCUAAAUUUCUAUAAAUUUUUUACACAGAAGAUCUAAAUAAUAUAACACUAAAGUUUAUCUAUCUCUAAAAAAAGUCCAAGGAUAGACCAUACUAAUUUUAGUAAACAAUAAAUUUUAUAAGGAAAAAUUAACAAAUACUCUUAAAAAAUUAUUUAUAGAAAUUAUAAUAAUUAUAAAAAAUGAAGAACAUGUGUAAUAUUUUAUCAAAGUUUAGUAAAGAAAAAUAGUAAAAUCUAUCUUUGAACCACAUGGUUAGAUUUGACGUAUAGAAAUCAAUUGUGAAUUUAAAAUAUGAAAAUUUUUACUGUAUACUUGCAAAUUGAAGUAUAUCGGUAUUUUUGUAUUGAAAAAAGAAAAAGAGAUUUUAUAACAAUGAGUUAUGAGUAUACAUCCAUUUAGUGAGCAUUAUGUUUGUAGACAGUAGUGUGAGAGAUUAAGUAAUUAUAAGAAGAAAAAAAAAAAAAAAGUAAUUACCAUCAGCACUAGUAGCACUAAUCAACCUGAGAGCCACGGAAGAGCACAAGAUUGAAGCGUAGGUGUCAAUUAUAGAGCAAGUGAGAUUACCAAGAACCUUGAAUCCACCUGUGACAUUUAAACCAGCGGUGAGGGCGUUGAUAUCCAACACAUUCCUAUGCAUCAAUAUCACUGUCCCCUUCACCUUUUGGCUUCUGUGAAAUGGAUUUGUAAACAUCUUUGCAACUUCUCCAGCAAAUUUGUUGUGCACUUUCUGGCAAAUGAAAGAAAACUUUGUGGCUUGCAAGUCACUAUUCUAAUUUUGUUUACACUGCUCUCAUUAUAUACUGUAAGUCUUGCAGCCUAGGUCAACCAUCAAUGUAACUAAAGGGGGUGGUAAUUUAGUAGAUUUAGUAAUAGUAGAUAGAUAGAUAGAUUUGUUUUUCAUUUGGAGGUCUAGAGGGGGUGGUAAUUUAGAUUAAAAAAAUGUAAAAAUAUUGGAGCCCUAAAGUAAGAGUUUAGUCUAUAUAUCUUAUGUUUCGGUUCAACGAAAGAGCUUAUUGUUUAGGGUUUAGAAAAUUUUGAUAGAAUUAUACAACUAGAAGAAUUAGGUUUUAUCAAAAAAAAAAUAGUAGAAUUAGGUAAAUUUUAUCUAUCUAAGAGUUUGGUUGGAUAUAUACUUUUUAGGCAAAAUUUGUUUAACAUUUAUAUUUAUUUUAAAAAUAUGACAUGAUAUUGAUUGAUUGGAUGAAGGGUACAUACACAAUAAAACUACGUAGGUAUCAUUGUGUUCCGGGUAGAUUUAUUAGAAUAAUAUAGUGGUCAUUUGAACAUUAAUUAAUGGUGAUAGAGUUGUUGAGAAUGAAUAAACUAACGAUAGCAUAAGUAAAUAAAAAGCAAAUAGAUAAAUUGCGAGUAAAAUAAUAAUUUGAUCGAUUGUGUAUGUAUAAAUCAAAAUUUACAAUUUGUAAAAAAACAAAUCAAAAUUUACAAGUGGUAUUUAUAGACAAAAUAACAUAACAGGUAAUUCUGUUGUCCUAUAACAUCCUGACUUACAAAAUUAAUCCACAUGUUUAUUUAGAUGUGCCAUUUUUCCUAACAAAUCCACAUGUUUGUAUUCAAGAUCAAAGUUAAUGUAUUAAAAACAAAAUAUAAUUAUUAUUGUUGGUACUACGAAGGUUUAAUGUCAGUAACUUACAGUGUUAGAAACCACACUGGAAACCCAUUGUUUUGGAACAUGCUUAGAAGUUGGAACAUGAGAAAGUGUGGUCCAACUCAUAUCUAAAUAAUAUAUUAGUAUCGAACCAGAGACAUUGGAAAGGAGUAUACUUUGCCAAUAUUACCAGAUCAACUCAAAUGGUUUACUUACAUCUUAACUUAAAACUUUAAAGCAUUAAAUAUAUGAAUUCUCUUGCUUAUAAUGUUGAACUUAUUUUUUUUCCUUCAUGGAAUGUAGAACUCUUAACAAGUAAGUCUAAACCCUAUUUUCGCUCACACGACAACACAUUAUCAACCUUCCCUAUCAUCUUUCCCAAACCUCAUGUGUGUAAAGAGUAUUGUCACUAUCACACGAAAUGUUUGUUGUUUUGAAGGAGUAUUUUGCAUACAUAAUAUUGGAGAGUGUAUUUAUUACAAUUUAAAACUUAUGACAUGGUAGCUACUAGCUUAAAUGCAAUACGUGUAAGGGAAGACGAAGACCCAUAGAAGUCUACUCUUUUGUACUCUUCCAUCAUCUUAACAAAGACAUGCGCCUAUAUCUGUUUAUUUGGCCGUACACAAUAGUAAUAAAGAUAUUGUUAUAUUAUUAUUGAAAUUUAUAACUUAGGAUAAGAUAUAGGUUUGAUCAGACAGAUGCAAUAAUUUUUCUACCCUUUAAAAGCUAUAUUAUUCAAUGUGUAUAUCCACCACUAUAGUCCUUGUAUGGAAAUGCAUUUUCCCAUAGUGUGAAUGGGGAGACCUGGAGAUCAUCAUGAAGCAUCGACUCAAACACACAGCUUGCACUGUUGGAGAAAGAUGCUACUAUUAUCUCAAUUAUUGUUAGUAAUUAUUCAUAUUACGCAGAUUGAGAUCCAAUUCCUCAACUUCAUUAUCACUAAUAAACUACUUUAGUAACCAAACUAAAUAUAUAUAUGCACCAAGAUUAGGCGUGUUGCGGUGUCCGACACGCGUGCUGAGUCAUUAAUUAGUUAUUUUAAUAUAAUAUUUAGUUCCGUUUUAAUUAGAUUUAAGUUUAUUUUAUUUUAAUAUUAUUUCCUUUUAGAGCUAUUUUACUUCAGUUGCAUAUUAUUAUAUUUCAGGAAUGAAUAUUUGAUGGAUUGAGUCUUGGAGCAAAAGAAAAGGGGUUUGGAGCUGAUUCGGAACGAAAAUACGAAGAUUUGGAGACAAAAAUAUGUCUCCCCCAAGCCAGAAGCUUGGCACGACCCGUGCUCCCACUGGCACGGUCGUGCCACCUCCCAGGAUCUCCUUUUGCUGCUUUUGCUUAGAUUUUAAGCUACUCUAUUUAGUUUUGACCGAAAAGCCCGCAGUUUCUUGUGGAACAUUCUAGUGAUGUAUUGCUUAGGUUUUAAGUCGAAUGUAAACUAUAAAUAGAGUAGCUAGCUAUCACAACAAUUCAUCUUUUGCUCUCUGAAAUAAUAAGUGACAAUUGUUUCUUUGAAUAAAAGUUCUCCUUUAUUUUAUGUUCUUCUUCUUCUUCUUCUUCUUCUUCUUCUUCUUCUUCUUCUUCUUCUCUUCUAUGUUUACAAUGAACGUGAGUGAGUAGACUCUUCUGCCUUGGGAUUGUUGGGUAAGUCUAAAUGACAUAACCCUAAUCAAACCAAGCCUUGAACCCUAAUUUUAUAUAAAUUUACUUUCUAAUCUAAAUUCACCGUUUUAACAUGAAUUAACAAUUACCAAACUAUAGAAGCGAAAGUGGAGGGUUAGUAAUUGUUAAUUCAUCAUCUCAAAUAUCAAUUUAUAAAGCGAAAGUGGAGUUUUGAUAUUUGAACAAGUGAAUUUAGACAAGGAUUGCGAAACAUGAAAAUAGUCUAGCAAACCUUGAGACAUAUAAAGUUUCGAACUUCAAGGAUUCUAAUAGCAACCAACCAUGAAAAUAGGCGUGGUUGCUAGGGGAACACACUCACUGAGACUGAAAGGAGAUGUGAUAAGCUAAAGAGAAACUUGUCUUUAGAAAGUAAAUCAAAUAUAAAAUUAUGGUUUAGGGUUUGUUUGUGAAGGGCUUGUUAUUUAGAUGAACCAAUAAUCCCAAGGCGUUUUUUAUUUUUAUUAUUUUCUUUCAAUUAAAAAUCCAAACUUUUCAACUAAAACUCUUUUCUAAUCAUUGUUGAAAGUUAAGUAAAUUCAUAACUCCAUCCCCGUGAGCUUAGCUCAGUUGGUAGGGAUAUUGAAUAUUAUAUGCAGGAGCCGGGGUUCGAACCCCGGACACUCCACUUCUCCACAGUUUAAUUGUGUGAGCUCUGGCCACUAGGCUACUUGACAAAAAAAAAAAAAAUUCAUAACUCCCUGUCGGAACGAUACUUUUGUUUACUACAUCUGUAAACCGUGCACUUGUGGUUUUAUCCCAUCAAAGCGUUGGUGUUUGACAUUCUUAUGACACUUAUACGACAUAUGUUGGACCAACUAAGUCUGGUGUCCCAAAAAUUUAUUAUUUUUAUUUACUUCAACACUCCAUGGAUCGGUGUCUGACAUCUGUAUGACACUCAUAUAACGCAUGUGUCGAAAAACUCAGACAAGUAUCCGAAGUUUUUUUCUUUGCUUCGAGACACCUUAGACAUAUCUAAGACGUAUCUACAAGAUUAAAGAUGUGUGAAAACAAUGUUGAUCAAUGAAGCCGUUAAAGAAAUUAAUCUUUUUAACAAAAUUUUAAUAUUUUUUGUUAAAGAAAUACAUUGCUCAAUUUACAUGUAUAUAUUUUGAUUCUCGCUUUUUGUCAAUGUCAAGAUCCUUCUUCAUAUCAGAUUUGCCGUGUUUUAGUUUUAGUUACUUCUUAGUUAAGUUUACUUGUAUGAGUCAUAAGUUUAAUUUUUUUUUAGGGAUGACUCAUAAGUUUAUUUAGUUUGUUGAGGUAUGAGUUAUAUGUUGGUAUAUCAAGUAUGAGUAAGAGUUCUAUAUUAAAAUGUGGAUGAUGAACACGUUAUAAUUGAGAUGAUAUAUAAUUUUAAUGUCUUAAUGUUUUGGGUUAAAGUGUGUGUCAACCACACAUGUAUUGUUGAUUUGAGCUUAAUGUGAAUGAUCUUUAGACUUCCCUAAUCAGCAAAAACAUUAUGCAACGUAAUUUUUCACUCCAAUAUUCUAUGAUAAAUGCUCAUCUUUCAAAAUUGACCAAUAUUCAUUGAUUUUUUUUUGAAGGAAACCAAUAUUCAUUCAUGUUAACUGUAUAUGCCAUCAUUCACUUUAUAAAUUUCCACUCAACGACUCCGUACCUUGCCAGCCAACACCUCUUCCAUGUCAGCAACGCAACCCAUCAAUAGCAGUUACACACCUAUAGAUAAGAUCCAAUCAACCAAUGAACCAAUCCAUAACAUUUAUACAGACUUAUUAAUUAAGAUUUAAGACCAUUCCAUUAUAGCAAUAGACAUAAGUCAGCAAUUCAAAUAAAGUUUAUAACCAACAUAAGUGUAUGCUUGAUAAAUAUUUCGUCUCUAACACGUAGCGACAAAAUUAUAUAGAGAUAUAUUUCCUUCUCAAAAUGUCCCCAACUGUUUCACCUUUUUUUAGUAGUGAGUCUAGUGACCAUCCUCAAUCUACAUUCUGCAUCAAAAUAUAUAUUGUUCAUGUUUAAUUAAACUAUAUAAAUCUUAUACACUGCAAGGCCCACAUGGUACUUAAGAAGCAAUUGCCAAGUCUUUGAUACAUUAAAUGCAUGCUUGUAUUUUAAUUUUUUCCCUUAAUAGCAAAGCAAAGUUAUAAAUUAAUUGUCACCAUGCAAAGUUUGAAAGCUCUUGACAUACAAUUAUGUUGGGUUCAUGACUUUUGGUGGAACAGGAGGAGUGCAUGACUUAGCAACUGUGAAGGCGUUAGUAUAACUUUUAGGUGGCCUAGUAACAUAAAAAAUUAAUAAGAAAUAUUAAACUUUAUCAUAAGCAAACACUUUCACAAUAAUUUUUACUUUCCUAAAUAAAGGUUUGAACAACCUGUGAAUCAAUGAAUUCUAAGAUGUGAAUCGAUGCCUAUUAUUCGUUUGAAGGAACCAACCUUGAUGAGUGAGCAGGUGUGGCUGAGUGAUAAAAAAUAUCAAAUUUUAUGAUCAUAAGCAAACACACGUUCACAAUAAGUUUUACUUCUCCUUCCAAAAAAAUAAUAAUUAAUUUUUUUACUUUUUCAUAUAAAGCCUUUGUUAGAGUUGUUAUACGUAAACCAACUAAUGUGGACAAACACCCUUCUACCACUCUUAUAGGUGGCCAAUUUUAUAAUAAAAAAUUCUUAUUAUCCAUAUCAUUUGUACAAGAAAAAAAUAAAAAAUAAAAAAUAAAAAUUGUUGUUUUCUCAGUUAUUCACUCUAGUGGCUCUCUUUUUCUCCACCGCCGCUGCCCCGUCCUGGCCUCUCUCACCACUACCAUCAUAUCCUUGUCAUCGUACCUCCGCCCCACCCCCUCUGCAACACAACACUCCACCAACACCACAACUGUCGUGGCCUUCACAGUUCACACCAUCCAGAAGUCUUCCCGUUCACCGCCCUCAAAUCGCACCACCACCACCAUCAUUAUGUAAGAUCUAGCCAUUACCAUCAUAGUUGCCGCCGUUCUCACCACACUCCGUCAACAUCCUCGUCCUCGUCACUACUCAGGCGAGGGAGAAGAGAAAAAGAGAGAUAGAUAAAAUUACAAUUACAGAAGGAGAGAGAAGGAGUAGAGAGAAAAAAGACACGCAGAUAAGAUUUGAGGGGAGGAAGAGAGUUCAUAGAGGGUGAGGAAGGGAACAUGAAAUCUCAUUUUUACCCCUUGUUUUUAAAUAAAACUACAGAAUUGUCAUCCACAUCAGCAAGUGGUACAAAGUGUGUACAAAAGGGAGUGGUCCAUCUAUCAUUUUCCCUUAAAGUUAAGUACCACGUGGGCCCUACAUAGUACUAGAGUGAUGAAUGUGGUGUAAAAAGUUUGGGUGGCGGAAGAUUCUAAGGGAGGAGUGCCGCUUGAGGAGGUGCCAUGGCGGAGCUAAAAAUAAUUUUUUGAUUGGAGCAAUUCUUUUAAUGUGUGUAAAUUUAUAUUUUCUUAUUAAUUAAAUCAAGUGAUUAAACCGGUGUUUUAAAGAUAUUUUAACAUAAAUAUUAUAUAAUUUUUUAUUAUAUUACACAUAUACUUUUAAUUGAAAAAAGAAUUGUGUUUUAUUCGCACAAAAUGUUGGUGAGAGAAAAAUAAUGUUGGUGAUAGAUAUACAACUUAGUGGUUCGGUACUCUUUUAGUGGCCAACUGGUUUGAACCCCUUGAUGGUUUUUUUUAAUAAAUUUAUUAAAAAUAGGCAUAAGAAAUUAAAAAAGAAUGGCAGAUAUGAUUUGAACUUUUAACAUGAAGGCAUAGGAUCUCUCAACUUAAACGUUAGAACACACUUAUUUCUGACGCAACAUAUUAUAUAUAAUAUAACUUCAUACUAUAAUAUGUGAAUAUAUACCUAUUAAAAUGAUUUUUUUAGUGUUUGGGUAAGUGAGUGGCUCCGCCACCGAGGAGGAGGGUGAAGGUAGUGAGGAGGCGACAACGGUGGCUUCAAAGGAGGGUUGUAGAGUGUGAGCAGAGAAGGAUAGGUUUUUCCAAUAACACCGCCAUUAAUUAUAGAUAGAGGAAGGGGGUACGAUAGUUCUGGAAACACCUGGAGGAAAUGUGGAGGGAGAGUAGGUAGGAAAUAGUUGGAUGCAGUAGGGAUUUUUCGCUUACAAAGGAAUGACAAAAUUUAUUUUAAUAUAGAGGAUGAAACAAUACUUAAGAAGUCGGUAGAACUUGAAGAAGUUGAUGAGUUGAAUAAAGGAAGAAAGGAGAAAGCAAGCAGUGGUCAAUGAUUGUAUUGAUUUAUAAUGUGAGAAGCUUGGGGAAGAUCGAAAAGGAAAAUGAUUAACUAGUUGGUGCGCCAACAAAAGGUUGAUAUCUUUCGCGUGGGAGGGUUUUGUCGGGGUGUGCUUGGAGUGAGGAUUCUUUUAAAAAUGUUCUUUUGCCAUUAUAUCUAUUCCAAAUAUGAUAUAAUUGCAAAGAGGAGAUUCUGUGAGAAUCUUUUGAUGGUUACAGAUACUUUGAGAGAAGGAGCUUGGUGUUCGGUGGGUGAUUUUAAUGCGUGUGUAGUUUGAAAGAGAGAAGGGGGAUAAAUUUUGAAGCUUCUUCGGGACAACCAUUGAAAAUGAACUCUUUUUAAUAAUUUCUUGAGGGAGGUGGACAUGCUGGAUGUGACCGCUACUGGUCGUAGAUUUACUUGGUAUAAUUCAAAUGGGAGUGCGAUGAGUCAUAUUGAUAGAGCUCUAAUUAUCAAGAAAAAAUGGUCUAACAAUUAGGGUUAUGUGGCUUGGUGGGUCUUAUCGAGGGAUAUAUCAGAUCAUUACCUCUUGGUUUUUAAAGUUGGAGAUAGGGGUUGGGGUCCAAACCCAUUUUGCUUCAAUAAUUUUUGGCUGGAAGACAUGAAGUUUAAACAAGUAGUGGAGGAUGUACAAGAAAAUCAAAAUGUUAGGUUUGAUGAGAGUGGUGUUGAAAACAAAACCUAAAGCUUUGAAUAUUGAACUGAGAGCUUGGAAUAAUUAAUGAAGUGAGGUUGGGUAUGGAGAUAUAGAAGUUGGUUGUCAAAAUUGGUGGAUAAUAUUAUGGAUCUAGAUGUUAGAGGCAAAAUCUGUUCUUUGAGUCGAAGAGGUGGAGAUUAGAGAAAGAAAGUUAACGAGUUAUUAACGAGAUUAGGGUUUAAAGAUCUAAGUGAAAAUGACUUUGGGAGGGGGAUGCCAAUUGAAAGUACUUCCAUAAAUGUGUGAAAGCAAGAUCAAACCAGAACAUAAUAAAAGUUCUUAAAUCUAAUUAAGUCGAUUAAAAAAGACACUUUUUAAGUAGGACGUUCCAUCCAAUGGCACCCACGCAAAAGUAGGAUGCUGCCACAUAUUUUGUUCAACUUGCUUUUUGAAAUUCUCUACCACCUCUGUUUUCUGAGUGCAGAUCUGCUCCAGUACAAAAUUGCUCCAGUUCCCAGUUAAUGUAACUGAUGCGUGACAUGUGGCAGGGUCAGAUUUCAACGGAUCAGAUUUUAAAAACAAAAUCAGUUUUUUACUUUGACACAAAAAAAGAGCUCUGUGAGAGUAAUAGCACGCUUACGCCCUUCUCCGUCACUCCUCUCCGCCCCUCUCCCUCUUCUUCGUUAGUACGUCGUCGUCCCUCUUCUUCGUUAGUACGCCGCCGUCCCUCUUCUGCAUUUCAAUUGGAGGAAUACAGUGUUAUUCGUUGUUGUAAACAUUCUGUUGGCACAUAGUGUGAUGUUUGUUAUUGCAAAUAAAAGAUAUCGUUGUUGUUAUUGAUUGAAAGCUUGUAACAGCGUGACGGCGGCAGCGGCGGACAGUUACAGCAGCGCGGCGGCGGAGUAGGGCUGAAUAGUGGUAAAUUAAGUUUGAACGUGUUUUGUUUCGACGGAGAAGAGAAGAGAAAUCAUUUCUAUUUUUUUAAUUAAAAAUAACUUACUUUGCAAAUUUAAAAUCUGAACCAUUGAUGUUGUUUUUGCCACGUGUCGUCAAUUUGUUCAAAGUACAGGACAGUUAAUGGAUUUUAUAAACUGGAGCUGAUCUGCACUCCUGUUUUCUAGUACAGAAAAUACUUUUUAUGUUUUGUAAAAAUGACUUCUUAAGUCGGUUUCGAGGCCGACUUAAUAGUAGACGACAUAAGAAGUAUUGACUUCUUAAGAUAGAUAUGACCCAACUUAAGAGAAUGACUUCCUCAGUCGCGUAAACUCUGACCGACUUGGCAAAGUAUUAUUUUAAUAUGAAAAAAUUGCCACGGGUAAACCAUGACCCAAAAUUGUUCAAGAAAAAACCGUGGCCAAAUUUUUUUUGGAAAAAAAUUAAAUUUGUUCGACAUAAGUCGGUUUCGAGUCCGACAUAAUAGUAGCCUGAUUUGCUCGAUUUCUUCAUGAAUUACUUCAAGAACACUGCUAUGUUUCGGGAAUAAUAGAAUUACAGACUCAAAUAUAAAAAAGAUUACAAAUGUCCCGAAAUCAUAGAUUAAUCUAAUACUUCUCUACUUUAUUGGUAAAACCUACUAAAAUUGAUAGAAAGACAUGCUAAGAAUAACGUAAGAUGACCUGUCAUCACUACCGCAUUAAGUCUAAGGAAGUUGGGAUCACCUUUUGUAUGUGGUAACCUGGUUAAAUUAGCUUGGUGAUUUCAAACUAUGAACUCUGAGUACCAGUUUAGUUAAAAGAGAUCUAUGAUGUUGGAAGAAUGUUGGAAGGCUAGCUUAGAUGAAAAGAGUUGGAUGACUAUAGAUAUACGUUAUGUAUUAAGCCAUCAGUUGUACUACCUUGUCUAUUGUAUACUCGUUAGUCGGUGCACUAUUACUCAGAUAUGAAUUAUAUUUAAUGUAAUCGCCAGUUAGUACAUUUUGUAUUUAGAUACGACUUAUGGAUUGUACUCAACAAUUAGGACUUUCAUCAGAUUUAUGAGGUAGUAUAAUGUUAUGGUUCAUUACAUAGAGAAAGUUGAAUUAUUUCUUACUUUCCAAGGAUGUAAGCUUAAAGUCCAAUAUUGUUCCGUGUAGGGACGAUCUUAUACGAAGUAUGGUAAAUUUUACUUCAAAUAACCACCCAAAUUACGGAGUAGUUUUUACUUCUUUCACCUAUUAUAUUCCUUGGUGAUUAAUUAUUUUUCAUAUUUUUAUUUCAUUAAGGUUCUAGAGCAGGUUGAGCAAUUGAGCUAUCAACGGAUCCCAACUUAUUCUUGUCAGAAAGUGUCACUGUCACCACUCAACGGGUGUGAAAGGAUUGUUACCAUUCAUGGAAGCCAUGUGAGGUAGGAAAAACUAAACUGAUACCAUAUUUGAACCAUAUAUAUGAGACAACUGGUUUCUGAAAUAAGGUACAAAAAGACACAAUAGUUCUUAUUGAUUUUAAGUAAAACAUUAACAAUAAAACAACCAUAGGUAGGAGGUGAGGGAAUAGAAUUCCGUCUCGUCUGUUAUUCAAAGCAGCAACACAAUAACCAUGACCCAAUUUAGAUGGAGAUACUAUUGGGAAUGCCUCUGCAAGUCAAUCCUUCCUCACUAGAAGGAUAAAGCAAAGUAUAUGGCAUCUUCACUGGUCCAUAACGAUUCCUCAGUGUCUCAUCGUUGUUCCUUUGAGUGAGUUUUUUCUCAAUUUCAGCCAGCUUCUUUCCAAACCUCUUGAAAGCCUCUUUUGGUUGUGAAUCAGAAGUCCAAUUAUCACCUUCAAUUCUCUGUCCAAGGUAUUGUUCAUCAGAAGCAUGUCUUGACAAGACUUCUAUAACAGUCAAGUUAGUUAGGAUGUCUUUCUUCGGUGGGAUUGUUCUCAAAAACGCCUUUUGAUAGUUCUUAGAAAGCUCAGCAUACUCAGCAGAUCCUUUCUUAGGCAUUAAUCUUCUGCUUUUUGUUGGUCGGUUAAGAAUGUAACCACCGUACGGAUAUUGUCCAAAAUUAACAGCCGCAUGAAGUGCCGAAGCAAUCCAUAUGAGGAUGGUGCAAGCCUCAAUCAACUCCUUACGGGUUUGCAUCUUAAACCACCAUUUAGCAUCUUUCAAGUCACCGUGACCUACCUCUACAAGUUCUUUCCAGAAUGCUUGGAGUUCAGAAUCUUGUGCAAUAUUUGCAUCUGACUUGUAGUAGAAAUACACAUAUUCUUCAACCCAUGACUUAAUUGCUGUCCAUAUCUCUAAUCCAUCAGCAGCAUAAGGGUAAUCUUUUAUCAGAAGGCGAAGGCCGUGUGGGGAAGUUGGAUCCUCAACAGCCACUCCUCUAGGUAACAAGAAAGGAAAAAAUCAUUAAUAUCAAAAUAAAAACUUUUGAUAUCAAUAUAUUAUUAACUGAAGUUUAAAAUUGCGGCAAAAUACAGUUGAUGCAGCUACAACCACUGACAAUUCACAUGAAAUUUUUUGAUGUCUCAUCUUAGAUCGUGGUUGUGAACACUUUUUCAAUCCUCGUUUCAACUACUGAAUAUAUUUCCAGGAUCUAAUGUUUUGUAAGGUUACCUUUUAAGUAGAUCAUUAGGCAAACCUUGAUCGGUGAAAACCCAGUCUUUAUAUAUUACCGCAGACAAUUCUAAAGAAUAACUUCCCAUCAAGAACGUCUUCUCAAUAACACCCUUUGCAUUGACCAAAACAUUCCUUGCAAGUGCAUUAAUGUUCAUUGUGUCACGAUAGUGCGGAAGUAAAAGCUUAUGAAUAGGAUGAACCACACUAAGAUGCCUAUUUGUUGCUAUGAUGAAUGGCUCAACAACUGCAUGAGUAUUCAACCUGUCACACAUGUCGAUAAUAAUGAAUAACUCAGACAUUUAAACUAUGUUUGGCUCUCUAAUCUUGGGAAUAGAAUUUGUACCAGUGGCUGAUAAGUUGGUGAUAGCAUGAGUCAUUUACAAUCACAUAAUUCUUGGCAAGUAGCCAAAUAGAAGAUUCAACACCUUCACUUGCAGGCAAGUAGAUAUCACUGAUAGGAUCAAAGCGAUCACCUUUUGGAUUCGGGCUACUUAGCUCGAUGGCUAAUGGCUUAAAAGUUCCAUCAUUUUGUAAGAAAAUGAUGGUUCUAGUAGCAUAUCCCAUUGUAUGAUCAUUGACUUCAUUUAUUUUGCUCAAAUAUGGAAAUAUUGAGUCUUGGUAAUCAAGUAUGUAAAGUCUCUUGUUAUGGAUAGCCUGUUCAAAAAACAUUUGAUUUAGUCAUUACAAUUGUUUGAAUUAAAAUGAACCUUUUUCGCAAAAUACUUCCUCCGUCUCAUUUUAAUCGUCAUUUUUGCAUUUUUUUUAUCUAUCUCAAAAUAAUUUUUAUUUUAAAAUAUUAAUACAAUAUUUAUCAAUUUUUUUAACUUUAAUAUACUCUUUUUUAUUGAAUUUUACUUCAUUUAACUAUUUUACUAACUACCAUUGAUAAAGGUGUUUUAGUAAAUGACACUAUUUACAAUUGAAAUCAAUCAACUAACCGCACACGACUCAAAUACUAUAAUUAAAAUGAGACGGAAGGAGUAGAAGUAACAAAAUCAUUUAGUCAUUACUUCUUCUACAGUGACCCCAUCCAUAUUUAGCUGCAACUGUUCUUUGGUUAUUGUGCUCGUAUUAUCACCGUAGUCUUGGCUAUUUAGCUUGCUCUUUGGUGGGAACUCCUACAUUAUAUAUAACAUGUAAUACUGAGAUUAACAAUUGAAAAUAUAGUAUGUAAAAUGGACAAAAUAGAGUUUAAUUUUCUGUUUGUAUAGAAAUCGUUAAACUAUGAAGUUUACCUGAAGUCUUUUGAUAAUGUGUGGAUUCACACCAGCAAUCAUCUCUCUUGUAAAUUCUUCAUCAGUCAUCCAUCCAGACUGAUUAACUGCUCAAAAUAAGAGCAUUGCAAAUGAUCCAUGAGAUUUCUUUCCAUAUUUUGUAUGAAUAUAAAUUACUAGGACUAAAAUCGUAGUAGUUCUAAUUCCCUGGGUACCUUGAAUCACUUCAGGCCGUGGAAACGUAAGUCCAGGUACUUCCUCAUCAUAGAAGGCAUGCACAUCAUUAAAGGUAUCAAACUCUGGCUUAUAAUUGCAUUCUAUUUCUAUCUCAGAUAUGAAAUCUUGAGAUGCUGAUUUCAGUAGGUUAUCAAGAAAUUCUGAAGACUUCUUGUGAUCAAAUGAUUCAUCUCUUGGAAUGUAAACAAAGCCGUUCCGACUCUCACUUUUAGGAUCUGUUCAUGUACAAAAUAGCAAAUAUGUAUUAGCUAGAAGAAUGACUUUAGAAUCAUUUUCAACACAAAAAAUAAUGCCAGCAUUAUUAAGAAAGUAAAAGAGAGUAUUUGAGAGAAGACAUAAAGAGAAAAAUGAAGUAAAAAUUGUGUUAUUCAAUUCAGUUUGUUACAAUGGAGAUGAACUCUAUUUAUAAGCUAAUUUCUAACAUAGCAUCUCUAACAAACUUAACAGCUGUACAAGCUUAUGUGGCAAGUUAGUUAGAGUUAGAAGUGGUUGCUUGCUCCUCAAGUAAUCUUCCUUCUUCUUCCAUUCUUAACAAUCAUAACAUACACUAUACUUUUAUAAAUAUCAAGGCGACAUUAAUUAAGUCUUAUUGAAAUACACCAGGGAUCACUUUCGUUUGUGAAGUAAUACCUUAAAAAAUAAUAUACCCAAGUGUUUAAAAAGAGUAUAAAAGUUUAUAACCUUUCUUAGCUGGUUCCCUGCCGGUUCUUCCCCUUCGAGGGUAAGGGAAAUUGCUCGAUCCCCCAAGAAUUUGACGCGCCAAUUGAGGUUUCGAGUCAGGCUCACCUAAAUCAUUGUAGACAUCGUAAUCAUAUAUUCUUUCCCAUUCCUUGCGCUCUCCUGUUCCAUCUCCUCUUAAAGUCUUCAAUUCUUCUUGUCUAUAGUACACUAAUGGAGCUGGUGUUUCACUUGGAAGGUAUGUCUAUAUUUUAAAUCAUAUGAAGGUGUCAGAUUUUGGGAACUAUAGUUUAUAUUUAACAUGCAAGAUAAAUAUGGUAUAUUCAUUACCUUGUUGGCAAAGAAGAUGCGUUCAGUUUUGUAGUUUUGAGCAUUGUAAAUCCAUGAGUUGCAAACAAAGUUGAUGGUUCCAUGGUUGGGAACAUCUUCAAGGGUCAAACUUACAAGAAAGAAUUCUCUUUGCUUGCGAUUCUUAAUAUAAAAUGCUCCUGGAAUUCCCAUGUCACUAUCCCAUUUAAAAUGAACAUCAAAUUCAGAUUGCCCUGCUACAUUCAAAGACGUUUCUUUUCCGACUUUACCUUUUCCACUUUCUACAAAUAAAAUAUGUCACAAUUUUGUUUUUCAAUUUCAGUAAAGGUUUAUAAAAAAAAAAAAUCAGUUAUGAUAAUUCUCAAAUGAAAAAUUAUAGCUAUUAAAAAUCUAAUUCUUUUUAUAAAAAAUUAACAAAUACUUGUAAGACAAUUUUUUAAAGAAAUUAUAAUAAUAAAAAAUGAAGAACAUGUGUAAUAUUUUAUCAAAAUUUUGUAAAAAAAAUAGUAAAAUCUAUCUUUGAAACACAUGUUUAUAUUUGACGUUCUCUAAACAUAGAAACCAAUUGUGAGUUUAAAAUAUGAGAACUUUUACUGUAUACUUGCAAAUUAUGUUUGUAGACAGUAGUGUGAGAGACUAAGUAAUUAUAAGCAAAAAAAAAUAAGUAAUUACCAUCAGCACUAGUAGAACUAAUCAACCUGAGAUCCACGGAACUGGCCAUAAUAUAGGUGUCAAUUAUAUAGCUAAUGAUACCAUGAACAAGAUUGAUAACACCUUUGAUUAAACCAGCGGGACUUGUAGCUGAAGUGAGGGAGUCUAUAUCAAACACAUUCUUUUGCAUCAAUAUCACUGUCCCCUUCACCAUUUGGCUUCUGUGAAAUGGAUUUGGAAACAUCUUUGCAACUUUGUGCACUUUCUGCUUUUCUGACAAAUGAAAGAAAACCUAGUGGCUUGCAAGUUUCUAUUCUAAUUUUGUUUACACUCUCACUCUUACUAUAUAUAUAUAUAUAUAUAUAUAUAUAUAUAGUAAGUCUUGCAAAUCAUGGGGGCUGCAUCCAGCACGUCAACGACCUAGGUCAAUACAGCAAGGUAAUUAAAAUCAAACCAGUCGGUUGAAACGGUACCUUUGAGUUUGGUUGGAUAUUGCUUUUCCUCUAGUUAAUAAUACUAGUUUGGUUCCUCUAGUUAACAUCUGUACCAAAAAAAAAAAUAUUUGUUUAACAUUUAAAUUAUUUUAAAAUAAAUUAAUAUAAAAAUAUUACAUGACAUUGAUUGAUUGGAUGAUGAGUAUAUAUCUAUUAAAAAUUGUAUAGGUGAUAGAGUGUUGAGUAGUUGAGAAUUAAUGAAGUAACGAUAUCAUAAGUAUAAAAGGCAAAAGGAUAAAAAUUGCGAGUAAAAUAAUAGUUUGGUUUAUUGUGUGUCAAUCAAAAUUUACACGUGAACUUAUAGAUAAGGUGACAUAACAUGUAAUUCUAUGUCAUGUUAAAAUUGAGAUUUUGCUUUAGAUCGAAAGAGAUCAGCAAAAUCGACAAUCGUUAAAUCGCAAUUAAAAUUGAUGGAUUUUAUCAAAAAUAUAAUAUUAAAUAUAUUUUAUAAAUGGUAUAUAGUGAUAAAUGACUUAGAUUAUAAUAAAUUGUAAGACCGCAAUCAAAAUCGUUGAAUUUUUCUUAUUUUAGAAUUAUACUAUGGGUUUGAGUCGUUAAAGAUGAAAAAAGUCACAAAAUCUUAAAUUUUAAGAUUUAAGUCGGUAUUUUAACAAGUCUUAACAUCAUGGCUUGCAAAUUCAACAUUGAUUGUUGUUAGAGUAAAUUACACUCCCCUCCCCUCAAAGAUGCUUGAAUUACAUUCCCCUCCCCUCUUAAGUUAAAAUAUACAAUCCCCUCCCCUCUUAUUCAAAACAUAUUAGAGAAAAUUUCACUCCCCUCCCCUAAGAGAAGCUUGAAUUACAUCCCCCUCCCCUCUUAUGUUAAAAUCUACACUUUACCCCCUCAAUAUUCUUUUUUAUUAUUUCUAAUAAUCUAGCAAAAAAUAAUAAUUUAACACACUUAAAAAAAUAGUAUUGCGAGUCUGUUUUAAUAUAAUAAAAAGUUGAAUACAUAUUUUUCGCUAUUUUUUAUUCACAAUUUCAUUAACAUGUAGUUUUAAACCCUAUUAUAAAAUAUUAAACAACCCAAAACAAAAUUAAAAUAUGUGAAAAAUUACUAAAAUCAUUAAGGCAUGAUUAUUUAGAAGUUAAUUUUAUACUCAGAUUUAUAAAAUCAAUAGCAAUAUAUUUAAAUUUAAUUAUCAUUGACAUUUAAACUAUAAAGAAAUGAAUUAAUUUUUCUUAAAUGGUGAUUCAAAAUUAAUAUAUAUUAUAAGAAUAUUUAAUUAUGUUCAAAUAGAUUAAAGUGUAGUGCAUAUUUAAUUAUUAAGGGAAUGGUUUGUAAUUCAAGCAUCUUAUAAGGGAGGGGAGUAUAAAUUUUAACAUUAGAAAAAAAUAUUGAGGGAGUAAAAUGUAUAUUUUAACUUAAGAGGGGAGGGGAGUGUAAUUCAAGCAUCUUUGAGGGGAGGGGAGUGUAAUUUUUUAUUGUUUUGUAUUGAUCCACAUGUUUAUUUAGAUGUAUCAUUUUUCCUAACAAAUCCAAAUGUUUAUAUUCAAGAUCAAAGCUAAUGUAUUAAAAACAAAAAAUAUCAAUUAUUGCUGGUCCUACCACGGUUUAAUGUCAAUAACUUAGUUUAGAAAUCACACUUGAAACCCAUUCAAUGUUAUCCACCACUAUAGUCCUUGUAUGAAAAUGCAUUUUCACAUCUACAUUUUCCCAUGGUAUGAAUGGGGAGACUUGGAGAUCAUCAUCAAGCAUUGACUCAAACACAAGGCUUGCACUGUUGGAGAAAAAUGCUAUUAUUAUCCUAAAUUAUUGUUAGUAAUUAUUCAUAUUACGCAGAUUGAUAUCCAAUCCCUCAACUUCAUUCACACACACACACAUAUAUAUAUAUAUGCACCAUGAAGUACACACCUCUCUAAGUGUGUCACGGUGUCCGACACCAGUGCCGGAGCCAGAAAAAAAUGUUUGGGUGGGCCGCUAAAAUAAACUAUAAACAAUAAUAUGUAAACAUAAAAUUAAAGUACUAAUAAGCAUUAAGCUUGAAGUUGAAAUUGCAAAGUUUGACUAAAAAGCUCGGGUGAAUGCUUUAAAAAAACAAAUUACAUAUUACUAAUGCUAUAAAUUAUGAUUUUUUUAUUUAUUUUAUAAUACAACUCUUAAUUGGAGGAAUUUUUUACAAAACAAUAUAAAAGAGAUUUGAAACCACCAAAAAUUAAAAGGUCUGUAAACCUCCGUUAACUAGCCAAGUAUAAGCAUAAAAAAAAAAAUCACAUAUGUCACUUUUGGAACCACCGAAAAUCUAAACGGUUGAAAAAUUGUUUAAAAUCUCGCAAAGCUGACUUAUGAUCGUCGAUUUUUUACUUUUUCCGGGUGGGCUGUGGCCUACCCCGGCCCUUAAAGGGCUCCGCCUCUAUCCGACACACGUCGAUAUUUGACAUUCAUAUGACACUCAUAUACAACACAUGUUGAACCAACUCAGUCUAGUGUCCCAAAAAUUAAUCAUUAUUUUAUUUUCUUCGACACACCUUGAACAUAUUUCUAAGGGUAUCUACAAGAUUAAAGAUGUGUGAAAUCAAUAUUGAUCAAUGAGGUGGUUAAAGAAAUUAAUAUUUUUAACAAAAUUUUAAUAUUUUUUGUUAAAGAAAUACAUUGCUCAAUUUACAUGUAUAUAUUUUGAUUCUCGCUUUAGCUAUUUUAUAAAUAAUACUAAUAUAUGAUUUGAUUAUAAGAAAUUAAUAAAUAUAUAUGUUGCGAUGCCAAAGUCUUAUGUUUUUUAAUUUUUACAUUGACGAUAUUAAUAUAUCCGUGUCAAUGUCAUGUGUCAAGUGUUCAUGUCGGAAUACAUGUCAUAAAGAGUGUGUGUAUAUAUAAUUCAAGAUCUUUAUUCAUAUAAGAUUUGCCGCGUUGUAGUUUUAGUUACUUCUUAGUUAAGUUUACUUGUUUGACUCAUAAGUUUAUUAUUAGUUGUUGAGGUAUGAAUUAUAUGUUAGUAUAUCAACUGUGAGUAAGAGUUCCAUAUUAAAAAGUGUAUGAUGAACGUAUUAUAAUUGAGAUGAUCUCUAAUUUUAAUGUCUUCAAAUUUUGGGUUAAAGUAUGUUGUCAACCACACAUGUAUCGAAAAUUUGCACUCCAAUUCUAUGAUAAAUGCUCAUCUUUCAUAAUCGACCAAUAUUCAUUCAUGUUAACUGUAUAUGUCAUCAUUCACAUUAUAAAUUUUCACUCAACUACUCCUUAGCUUGCCAGCGAACAUCUCUUCCAUGUCAGAAACCCAUCAAUAGCAGUUACACACCUAUAGAUAAGAUCCAUUAACCAAUAUCCAUGACAUUCAUACAUACUUAGUAAUUAAGAUUUAAGACCAUUGCAUUAUAGCAAUAGACAUAAGUCAGCAAUUCAAAUAAAGGUUAUAACCACAUUAUUGUACGUAAGUAACAUAACUAAGUGCAUGCUUGAUAUGCAGUGAAAUUGAAAGCAGACAAGAAAAUGCAGCAAUGAUAGGUUGACACUCUUAGGGUGUGUUUGGUUGUGGAGAGAGAGAAAGUGAUAAGAGAGAAGUAGGUGAGAGAGUUUGAGAAGAGAGAAAGAUGUGAGAAAUAAAGAUAGUGUUUGGUAUAAAAGAAAGAGAUAAGAAAUUGAGAAGAGAGAAGUGUUGAUUAUUUUUAAAAGUACAAAAAUACCCCUUAAAAUAAAAAUCUUUUCCUAAAACUACUCUAUUUUAUAUUUAAUUAAAUUUAUGAAUUGAUUAGUUUAAUUAGUUAUCUGGGUUAUUUUACUAAUAAUAAUAACAAGGUAAGUUAAUUAAUUUAAUUAUUAUUUAAAUAAGCCUAUUGUGAAAAAGAAAGAAAGAAUCACGUGACAACAUUGCAUAAAAGACAAAAAAAAUGUGUUGUUCUCUUAAAUUAAAGGGCAUAAAAGACAAAAUUAAAGCAACAAAAGAGUAACUUCUCUUCCGUUUCUUCGCUAAUUAGGGGAGAACAAAAAAUGCAUGGGACCCACCAAUUUUGUCCCUCUUCUCUCUUUCUCACCUUUGUCAAACUAGAGAAAUGCCACACUUCUCUCCUCUUUCUCUCCUUAGUCUCUCUCUUCUACAUUUCUCCACUACUAAAGAGAGUUUUAAUGUAUACACUCUUUUGCAUUACUUUAAAAAAAUUAAAGUUAACCAAAUAUAUAGUUUAUGUGACCACGUUUUUUUAGUUACGUGGCCACUAUUUUUAUGACAUACAUGCUCAUAAUAUAUUACUCAUGUUUAAUUAAACUAAAUAGAUCUUUUUUGGGACUAAAUAGAUCUUAUAUCUUAUAUCAUAAGCAAACACUUGGAUUUUUCCACUGUAGGGCCCACAUGGUACUUAAGCAAUUGCCAAGUCAAAAUAUAUAUGUUUACUUAAACUAAAUAAAUCUUAUCUCUUACCACUAUCGGGCCCACAUGGUACUUAACGCAAUUGCCAAGUCUUUGAUGCAUCCCCUCAAAAACAAUCUUGAUGCAUUAAAUGGAUGCUUGUAUUUUUUCCUUUUAUAGAAAAACAAAGUCUUAAAUUAAUUGGCACCACGCAGAAAGUUUGGAAAGCUCUUGACACACAAUCAUUUUGGGUUCUUGACGUUUGGUAGAAUAGGAGUGCAUGACAUAGCAACUGUGAAAUCAUUGGUAUAACUUUUAGGUGGCCAGAUAAUAUAAAAAACUAAACUUGAUCAUAAGCAAACACUUUCACAAUAAUUUUUACUUCCAUAAAAAAAGGUUUGAACAGCCUUUGAAUCAAUGACUUCUAAGAUGUAAAUCGAUGCCUAUUAUUCGUUGAACUUUGAAGGAACCAACGGGUAGCACUUGGAUGACAUAGAGUUGGGUGACAUUGACCAAUCACAAUGUCAUAAUGCUUGUGUUUCUCUCUCUUUCACAAGUAUUGUGACAUUAUAAUUGACUAAUGUCACUAAUGUCAUCCAACUCUAUAUCACCCAAAUACUAUCCUGAAACCAACCUUGUGAGUGAAGCUGAGUGAAAAAAAUAUUAAACUUUAUGAUAAGCAAACACACGUUCAAAAUAUAUUUUUUACCUCUCCUUCCAAUUUAUUUACUUUUUUUUACUUUAUCAUAUGGAGCUUUUGUUAAGUACAAGGUGGGUCCUAUAUAUUAUUCGAGUGAUGGGAGUGGUGUAAAAUUGGUCUUCUAUCAACUAGAUCACUCCCAUACAAACUGACGAAAAUAUCUCUAACGUAACUUAAAUCAAUCUGAAAGGGAGCGUGAGUUAACUCACACUGGGCUUGCGUUCAGGACCAGAACAUCAUAAACAUCUUUUUCAAUAAUUUUCUUCAUUCCUUCAUUCAUACAUACAUCCAUUUCUGUCAAAAAUACAUGUUUUCAUCAUUCAUUUAAUGAUUCAUUCAUUCACUCAUAAUUUAAAUAAAAAAAAUAAACGAAAAUUAACAAAAAUGUCAUAAAAAAACGCAAACGCGCAAAUGUAAAUAUAUAUUGCAUCCAUAUCUACCAAAGUGUAAAAAAUACAUCUAAAUAUACACAAAUGUUAGGAAAACACUAUAUAUAAAAAAAAAAUCUACUCCUAUGGACUAUGGCUCCUAGUCCUCCGCGGAACCGGCUCCUCCUGAAGCAUGCGAUACUCCGACCAGAUUCCCUCCAUAAUUUCAUCAUUAAAAAUGCUAAAAACAAACAUAUUUUCAUGUGUUAAAUAUGUCUUUAGUCCUUACAUUUUGCGCCCCUUUGAAGAAUAGUUCCUACAUUUCAUUAAAUGUUUUUAAAAUCCUCACAUUUUCUCUCUGUUAUCAAAAUUAGUCCUUGCUGUUAAUUCUCCAACGGAAUGCUGAUGUGGCAGUUAGUGGGUCCCAAUUAUUUUAAGGUUAAAUAUGUUUUUUGUCUGUACAUUUUGCGUGACUUUGAAAAUUAGUUUUUACAUUUCAAUAAAUGUUUUUAAAAUCCCUAAAAUAAUAAGGACUAUUCUUCAAAGUCACGCAAAAUGUAGGGACCAAAAACAUAAUUAACCUUAAAAUAAUUGGGACCCAGUAACUACCACAUCAACAUUCUAUUAGAGAAUCAACAACAAGGACUAAUUUUGAUAACGGAGAUAAAAUGUGAGGAUUUUAAAAACAUUUAAUGAAAUGUAAGGACUAUUCUUCAAAGUCACGCAAAAUGUAGGGACGAAAAACAUAAUUAUCCCUAAAAUAAUUGGGACCCAUUAACUGCCACAUCAGCAUUCCGUUAGAGAAUUAACAAUAGGGACUAAUUUUGAUAACGGAAAUAAAAUGUGAGGAUUUUAAAAACAUUUAAUGAAAUGUAAGGACUAUUCUUCAAAGGGAAGCAAAAUGUAAGCACUAAAAACACAUUUAACCCUAUUUUGAUUGAGACAUUUUAUCAAACACCUAGAGUUCAACAUAAUUUCUAACAAUUCCUAACUCUAACCUAACUCUAACGUACCAUAUUUCAAUCAAACCUACUCUAAUCAACUUCUAAAAAACAAUUUAUAACUUAAUUUAUCAUUAACAAUAAAAAUAUCAAACAUGCAAAUCAACUCUAAAACUUAAAAUUUCACAAUUUCAUCCAAAAAAAAAAAAACUAACAUUUAAACCCAAAAAACCCAAUGCAAAAGGUUAGAUAGCACUUGUGAUGGAAGUAGAAUUUGAUAUUGAUUUGAUUGAGUUCGGUGAAAAUCGCACAAAGUGGGAGAAAUUUCAUAAAAAAUGAGUUUGAAACACAAUGGUUAUAUUUUUGUCUGUUGUCGUUCUAUAAUAACACGCAAUGUGAGUUAAGUCACGCUGGGUUACAACGUAUGUGAGUUAAUUCAUGUUGAAUGUACCGGGCGUGACUUAUGUCACGAACGUGGGGGUACUUUCGUCCAUUCAGUUGGGAGCGAGUAUUUAUUGAUGGGAGAAGAGCAAUUUUCUAAAAACUUUGGGUGUGGUGGAAGAUUCUAAGUGAGGGUUGUAUGUUCUGUUAUGUUAAAAUAACGGAUAACUGAUAAGUUUGCUGAUAGCUGAUAGUUUAUAGCUGAUAGAUGUUGGUUGAUGGCUGAUAACUUAUAGUUUAUAGUUAAUGACUAUUGACUGAUGUUGAUAAGCUAGUUAAAGUGUGCUAAAAUUAACGGUUCAAUUAACUGAUAAAUAUAAAUUGACAUAAAAUGAAUUUUUUUUAUUCAUAAUACUUUUUUGAGAGGACCAAAGCCCAAUUUAAUUGAAAAAUUUAAUAAUUAGAAUUUAUAAAAAAAAAAAUCUGAAAAUAAAAUGUUUACUAGACUUUCCACCCGUGCUGCCGCACGGGUCAUAUACAUUGUAGAUAUAGUAGACAAAAACAAAUCUCAAUGCAUAUCAAAGAGAAUGAAAUAUGUGGUCCCAAAUAUAUGCAGAUGUUGGAAUUCGAACCUCAGACACCACGCUUAUUCACCAAAAAAAUAUUAAUUUUUAUCAAUCGUGUGUUACUUCAUUCCUUUGUUAAAAUUAUAUGUCAAUAUUAUAUUAUUGGUAUGUUACUUCAUAUUUUUCUUUUUUUUUUUGAAAAAAUGUUACUUCAUUCUUUUGUAAAAAUUAUAUGUUAAUGUUAUAUUAUGUACCUAAAAAUAGUUCAUUCUUAACCUCAACAUGUAAAAUGUUUUAUUUAAAUAAUUUUCCUUUUAUCGAAUAUUUGGCCUUUACCGUAAAUGAUACCCUUUAACUGUUUGUUGAAAUGUUUCUUCCACCUGUUUAUAUAGAUUGCAAAAUUCAGGUGCAUUUUGUGGUAAAUAUUUAACAAAGAGAGUUCAAUUCUAAUUUGGAUGAAAAGUGUAAUAUUAACAAAAAAAAAUGUUGCUAUAAUCUUUCAAAACCCUUUUAUUCCAAUAGGGCGAUUUGUUUUGUUGAAGAAAUAGGGCGAUUUGUGUUUUGAAGAAAUAGGGGAAAUAAAGCGAUGCCGAUUUGCUUUGUUCAUGAAAAUAGGAGAUUAGGUGUGAGCAUUAGCGUUGUUCAUGAAAAUAGAAGAUUAGGUGUGAGCAUUAGGGUUAAAACGGUAAAAUUAUGCAACAGGGUUUAGGUUAAAAUUAGGGCUCAUGAAAAUAUGAGAUUAGGUGUGAGCAUUAGGGUUGUUCAUGAAAAUAUAAGAUUAGGUGUGAGCAUUAGGGUUAAAACGGUAAAAUUAUGCAACAGGGUUUAGGUUAAAAUUAGGGCGCAUGAAAAUAUGAGAUUAGGUGUGAGCAUUAGGGUUGUUCAUGAAAAUAUAAGAUUAGGUGUGAGCAUUAGGGUUAAAACGGUAAAAUUAUGAAAUAUGAUUUAGGUUAAAAUUAGGGCUUACGGGUUACCUUUAAUAUAUAAGAAGAUUAGGUGAGAGCAAUAGGAUUGUUCAUGAAAAUAGGAGAUUAGGUGUGAACAUUAGAGUUAAAACAGUAAAAUUAUGCAAUAGAGUUUAGGUUAAAAUUAGGGCUUACUUGUUAACUUUAAUAUAUAACUUUAAUAUAUAAGAAGAUAAGCCCUUAACUUUGCCAAAUCCCCAAAUUGAUUCAACCAAAUUCUUCCUCCCCAAAUUGAAUCAUCAUGCAUCAUUCCUUCAUUAUAUGUCAAUUAACCGGUUGGUAUGAAGUAGAAAAUCGAGCGAUGUUGCAUUAUUUCAUUUACCGAUACAUGCUUAAGCAAAGACCAAGAAAAGAGAACAUGGCAAUAGAGAUGGAAUGGUUCAUUACCUUUUUAGAUUGAAGAAUGGAUUGGGGAGUUACGAUUUUUUUAAAGAGAAAACUAGUUACAAACCCGUGCUUCGCACGGGUUCAAUAACGUUUUUGAUAAAAAAAAAUCGAAAGAAGAUAUGUUAAAACGACGGAACAUUAUGAUUCAUCAUAAAAUAUGUAUGGACUGGUUCCAAAGCAUUAUAAAGAUCUGCUGUAGAAAAAGGGCAUGUUCUAUUUUGUUCAAAAGAUUAUGAAAACAACAUUAUAAUUAACAUGAUACUAAUUUGAACCAAUGAAGAAACCAACAAUGUGCAGAUUAACGUUACAUAAUAGUUAGGUUUAUAAAAGAGACUCCAAGUGUCAAAGACUAACUAAAAAGAGAUUUUUGCCAAUAUUUACUUCAGACAAAAUGAAAAGAACAAAUGACAUCCCAAAGUCAAAAUAGUUUACGAUUACAGACCAAAGCGAUACGUCAAAAUAGUAGAAGUUCAAAUAGUUCAGCAGCAAAUAUCUACUUUAGAACAACUCGAACGUGCAAGUUCUUCGGUGACUUUUCGAGACCAAAUAUGAGCUUACCACCUUCUAUCAUCACACGUUCUCUGCAGAAAUUGAUCCAUAGCCCACCCAAGUAUUUUUCAUAGCUUGCUCUUUCGGCGGUAAUGAGGCGACACUUAUACUUUCUCUGUAUGCGAAUAUAGUUACAUAUAAUUUAUAAAAUAAAGGUAGCUUAACUGAUUUAAGCUAAAGAAAAUGUAUCAUGACUUCUAAUUUAUCUUCCUAUAAAGUCUAGAUAAAUACAUGUAUGUGCAUUAUAUGAACCCCGUUGACCAAUUAACAUUGUUGAAACAAAUGGAAAUUAAGCAUCACUCCCGCAUGUGCAUCUAUAGCUAGCACCAUUUGACAUUGAUGUCUUCGAACAUUUGGUGCAACUCUUAUAAUACCAUCCAAACUGGUUAGGAUUGAAUUUAGUUGUUUUCCAAAUAGUGAUGAAGUAUGUAUCCUAACCCAAAUUAUGCACAUGAAAUAAAGAAUAAUGCAAUAUGUAUUUUUAACUUGUGCAUCAAAAAACUCAAAGCAUGUUCGUGCAUAAAAAAAGCAGACCAUGACUAAGUUUAUAAAUUCAGUAAUUGGCCUAACCUGAGGCAGAUUGAAAAAAUCGUUGUACAAAGUACGUUGAGAAGAAGCCGAACUCUAACUUAAGUUAUGACUGAUACUUUGACUCUGAGCUUGAGAAGUGUUAAGGUCACGACAACAAUUCAAGAAACAUGGUCAAAAAACAAUCAAAUCAAAUUGUGAAAUAAUAAGUUACUCUAAUACUAUAUUUUGAAAUCAUAAUGCAAACUUACUAAGUCUUAAACUUCUCAACAACCGGAUAAUGUAGGUUGAUGAGCAGCCUCGAACCUGACCAAUUGUUACAUAUAUUUGGGUUGCCAAUGACUACAAAAUGGAAGAACUCAAGGUAAAUAGAUGGUAAAUGAUCAAGCUACAGAGUAUUUUUCCCAUAGUGUUACAUCAACUAUAUUCCCACUGCAUAAGGAAAGACAUCUUUCAGGUCAUUAUCAAACUUAUACAAAAUUCUAUCAUCUGACGUUGACAAAUUAGAAAAUAAUACCUUUUAUCUUUCAACACAAUGUUCGUACACGGUUUCUUUCUAGUCCCAAUUGGUGUUGUCUUGACAAUCUCAUGAAGAAGCCCGAUGAUUUCUUAAAAAAAAAUUACAUCUAUAAUAAUAUUAUAAUCGGAGAAAACAAAGAAAUAAAUUAAAGCACAUAACUAUAUCAUAUAAAAUGUCAGAUUUGAAUUUUCCAUCUUGAAUUUCCUUAAAUGACUUAAAACGAAAUUCAUGAGUAAGAACGUUAGUUAACUUGUCAUACUUCUGCACCUUUGUAUCAGAACCAAAAACAACCCUAAAGAGAUUAAAUACAAUGUCCUUAUCAAACACAUGACAAUUAUACAAAGUAUAAGUCUUGUUUUCCUCGAUCAAAGCCUUUCAAUGCUCCAAUUCUCUAUACCGAGUUAUUACAUGAACUCGAUCACCCUAAAUUCGAGAAAGAAACCAAAAAAUGUAAAUAAAUCAAAAUGUACACUAAUAAGUAACAUUGAUAAAUCAUAAAGGAAAUUACAACAAAUCUUAACUAACUCAUCUAAUCUUUGCAUCACAAAUAAUGAGCUUCAUAUGUUGAUUCUCAUUACUACCAUUUACAAUCCAAGAAUCCAGCACUCCAAAUCCUAUUUUCCAAAUGUCCAAAUCAUUUUUUAGAUCCUUAAUGUAGUCAUAAUCCCUUGACAUCGAAAGUCCUAUAUAAAGAUACAAUAAUACAUCAUUUAAUUUUAUUCCCUUUGUUCAUUCUGAUAUCGAAAGAAGCUAACAUAUCCUAUGUGAUCAAUUUUUGUAUCAUCAAAUCAACCUGAUCUUAAAUGCACAAAUUUCUGAAUCAUCAACUUUUUGGACGUCAAUGAUAUGACCAAAACAAAUUUCACCAAUCAACUUUUGUACGGCUCAAUCAUAUAGGAAAGAAUAAACCAAAUAUGAAAAUUGUUAUGGCUUUAUGAUUACUCACAAAAACUAAAAUAACCCACAUACAUCAAUUUUUUUUCAACCACAGUACCAGAAGCUAAAAUAACAAUUGUGUCAAAACCUUAUCAUGAGCUAAAAUUCAAUCAUCAUGAUUUAUCAAUGUUACUUAUUAGUGUACAUUUUGGUGUCUUUCAAAAAGAUAAGAAUUUAUAUUAUAUGAUAUUAUAUUUGUUACAUUGUUGGUGCCAUGGAAACAUAUAUGUUUAGUUUUUUCGAAUAAGAAGAAGAUAUGCAUAGUUUGUUAUAAUAUAAGGGUGCAAAAUAUAUAUAUAAGUAUAAUUUUUCUAGGCAUCUAGACCUUUUUUGAAGAUAAGAAUAAAAAUAAUCAUACGCAUUAUGCAACGUCAAAAAAAAUUAUACGCAGUAGCGUAACAAAAAAACAGACACAUAUAAAGUAUUACUCUAAGCGCUAAUAUGUGUGUUCGUAUAUAUUUGCGAGGUUGAAGAAAGAAAAUAAAAAUAUUUGGUAUCAUUAAAUGACAGCGUGAAUAAAAAUAUUUGUAAGGUUGUGAUGAUUAAACAAUAUUGAAUUUAAAUGUAUAAGUGAUAAAAAGAUAAUAAAAUUCCUUUGAAAAAAAAGGUAAUAAAAUUAAAUGGGACCUCCUUAAAAAAAAUUAAAUGGAACGAUUCCAAAAAAAAUUAAAUGGAAGAAAAAAUCAUAUUGAAAUAUAAUAUUAAAAAAUAAAAGAAAAGGUUCCCAGUGUGAGUUGAAAAGAUGUGCUUUUGAAAUAAAUUGUCGAGAAGUAGUUUUUUAAAGUAACAUUCAACAACUUUUGGCCAAAGCUCAUUCCAUUCAAUUUUAUGCAUUAAAAAAAAAUUACUUUUUGUAGUAAGUACUUAAUUGAUAUUGUGUUUGUGUUUGACCUAACUUCUCCUUAAAAAUGUAGAAAAGUUGGAAAAAAAGCCGGGUCAAACGAUACCUUAUUCUCCUACAACGGCAAUGUAGAAGCAACUUAAUUUUGGACAAAAAAUUGAAAAAUAGUUAAAAACAUAAAAAUUGGAAAUAAAAUAUUUGGUAUCAUUUAAUGACAGCGUGAAUAAAAAUAUUUGUGGAGUUGUGAUGAUUAAACAAUAUUGAAAUUAAAUAUAUAUGCGAUAAAAAGAUAAUAAAAUUAAAUGGAACAUUCUUAAAAAAUUAAAUGGAACGGUUCAAAAAAAAAAGUUAAAUGGAAGGAAAAAAACAUAUUGAAAUAUAAUAUUAAACAAUAAAAGAAAAGGUUCCCAGCGUGAGUUAAAAAGAGGUGCUUGUGAAAUAAAUUGUCGAGAAGUAGUUUUUUUAAAGUAACAUUGAACAAAUUUUGGCCAAAGCUCAUUCCAUUCAAUUUUAUGCAUUCAAAAAAAUACAUUUUUUUAGUAAGUAAAUAGCGUGAGUUAAAAAGAGGUGCUUGUGAAAUAAAUUAUCGAGAAGUAGUUUUUAAAGUAACAUUCAAUAAUUUUUGGCCAAAGCUCAUUCCAUUCAAUUUUAUAUUCAAAAAAAUUUCUUUUUUUUAGUAAGUAAUUAAUUGAUACUAUGUUUGACCUAACUUCUCCUUAAAAAUGUAGAAAAGUUGAAAAAAUAAAAACCGGGUCAAGCGAUACCUUAAUCUUCUACAACGACAAUGUAGAAGCAACUGAAUUUGGGAUAAAAAAUUAAAAAAUAGUUAAAGUUAUCAAAAAUAUAAAAAUUAUAAAAUAAUUAAAAAAAUUGUGAGGGGCAAAAUGGGAAAUGCACCCAUAUAAUGGUGAGGUGGCAACAACACAAUUCCACCAAUUAGAAAAUUACAAAAAUACCCCUCCUAGGGGCAAAAUGGGAAAUUUAUAGAGCAUCAACUUUAAUAGUAGUAAGUAUAUAGAUAAGAAGAUGAAUGUGCAUCAUCAUCUUAGAAUGACAAAACAAUUAUUCUUUUUCUUUUUAUGGAGGAACGAUGGAUGCUUCAAUUUGGGGAGGAAGAAGGAGGAAGGAUUUUGUGUGAAUCAAUUUGGGGAUUUUGCAAAGGUAGGGUUCUUCAAUUAUAAACAUUUUAUUUUCAGAUUUUUUUUUUUUUAUAAAUUCUAAUUAUUAAAAUUUUUAAUUUAAUUUUACUAUUAAUGAUGUGGAAAUGAUGUGUCUAAUAAUGGUAUCAUGUUAGCAAUGUAAUAUAAUGUCAUUAAUGAACGCGCUACAUCAUUCAAAAAAAAAAGGAGGACAAUAAAUUUUUGUUGACAUUUUAAAUAGGAGAUCAAAAUGUUGGUUUUAGAAAAUGGAGUAUAAAAAAUUAACAAAAUUGAGAAAUGGAACAAAAGAUAAUAAACUAUAAGUUCAAAUGUUAUUUAAAAUAGCGUCUGAAAAAUAAGUUAUAUUAGUUCGUUAUGAAAAGAGACAGAUGUCAAACAGGACUUUUUGAUCAAACGACUUAUAAGCUAUAAACUCUUCUCUAUAAGCUACCUCUUUGCCCAUAGCAAACAGACCCGUGAGUGUGGGGGGAGGAGGAUGGUUUUGUCCAAUAACACCACCAAUAGGCUUGCGGAUAAUUAUAGAUGGAGGAAGGGGGUAUGAGUAUGAUAGUUCCGGAAACACUUGGAGGGAGUAGGUAGGAAAUAGUUGGAUGCAGUAGGGAUUAGUAGAACAUGAAGAAGCAGAUGUGUUGAAUAAAGGAAGAAGGGAGAAAGCAACUAGUGAUCAAUGAUUGUGUUGAUUUAUAAUGAGAGGCUUGGAGAGAUCGAAAAGGAAAAUGAUUAACUAGUUGGUGCGCCAAAAAAAGGUAGAUGUCAGGGUGUGCUUGGAGUGGAGAUUCUUAAAAAAUGUUGCUUUGACAAUAAUAUAUAUUCUAAAUGUGAUAUAAUGGCAAAGACGAGGUUGUGCGGGAAUCUUUUGAUGGUUAGAAAUACUUUGUGAGAAGGAGAAUGGUGUUCGAUGGAUGAUUUAAUACGCGUGUAGUUCGGAAAGGGGGAAGGGGAAUAAAUUUGGAAGCUUCUUUGGGACAACAGUUAGAAAUGAAUAUUUUCAAUAAGGGAGGUGGACUUGGUGGAUGUGACCCCUCUAGAUCGUAGAUUUACUUGGUAUAAUUUAAAUGGGAGUGCGAUGAGUCAUAUUGAUAAAGGUCAAAUUAAAAGAAAAAAUGUUACAAUAAAACACAGUAUUUAUUUAAGGGGAAAAUAUUUUUUUUAUAAUGUCGAAGUUACAUGCUAACAUGAUACGACACUGUUUUAAUUCGAAGGUGUGUUAAAACCUAGCAGCAGAUCAAAGGUACAGUACAACCACAAACCCAAGGUUACUUGCUUUCCAAGGCCACAAAAGGGACCUUUAACUCUGCUAUACUCUAUUUUGUGUAAAAUAGAGUGCACAUCGAUCUUCCCCUCAGAUAUACACUAUUUUGUGCUUCAAUAAAAAUUGAAGUGUUUCAAUUAUAAAAAUUUGUGAAGCGAAAACAAAGUAUUAACCGUUAAAAUUGUGAAGCGAAAACAAUGUAUUAACCGUUAACUAUGUGAAAUGAAAACAGAGAGAAUUGAUAUAAAUCUCGUAUUCAUAUCGCAUAUUCUGUGAUUUAACUAUGUGUACAAGAAGGUUUAAUAUUAACUAACUGUGAUAGAUUCUAGAUGACUCCUACAUUUCUAAUAUUAACUUCACUUGUUCUGUACAUUCUACAUUGUUACAGAAUUUGCCAAAUUUUCAGAAAAUUACAGAAUCUGUCCAUUAUACCUUGUUACUGAUGUAAAAGCUUGUCAAGUGUUGAUUCAUCAAUUUUUAUCUCUUAAGAAACAGAGCUUUAAGUGUGAGUGGAUGCACCUCACUUAAGAGCUUUUGAACAAGCAUUUGUUCACCAUUUCUCUGAGAAUUGUAUAUAUGUCGCUUGUUGCUCUAGGGCCUGUUUGAGUAAGAGUCAGAGGCAUAUAGCAGUAAAGAUAUUAUCAGAAGGCAUCAUCAGAUCCUAUUUUACAGCACUUGAUAUGUUUUUCAUCUCUUAAUCAUUUGAGAGUGAAAUAUCAUUUAUGGACUAAUCUUUGAACCAGCAGGCAGGAUUUCGGAAGCAAGUAUUUGAGGCUUUUGUGAGCAAUUGUUUGGUGCCUAAAGAGUAACCUUCGAAUAUCACUCCUUCCACAUUUUUUUCUCCUUUUCAGCUGUUGCUUUUGCCUUCUGUCGAACCAAGCAAAGUGUUCAUGUGCUCUCCACCAAAUCCAAUAUGCAUAAGCUCUUCAAGUAAAGACCUACUCAUAAACCAAAUUAUUUUGCAGUACCAUAAAAUGGAACAGAGUCAAUAAACUAAAUUUAUUCCCUAAGUUAUCGGUAUAAUGAGUGCGAGGAAGAUUAUGUACCUCAUAUCAUAUGUUUCAUCUAAUUCGAAGUUUGAUGGCAGAGUUCCAAAGAUGUCUAGCUUUAAUUUGUUUGAUGGAGGAAUUGUUUCUUCUAGAUCAUCUGAUUCAAAAUUUGUUGGAGGAAUUGUUUCUUCUCGAUGAUUGGAUUGAAAAUUUGAUGAAGAUGCAGAUGCAGUUUCUUCUUGAUCAUGAGAUUCAAAAAUUGUUGAAGGAAUAGUUUCUUCCUUAUAUAUCCAGUGAAAUCCACACUCUUUUAUCGAUACUUCAUCAUAUAGAUCUUCUUCAAUAAAGAAUCUAAAUGUAAGCUUUGGAUUGCAACUAGUGCUGUUCACAUCAUUAAUGGAUUUUAUUUCUUCAACUGCUGCCAUUAUCUGCUUGCAACUUGCUUGAUCAUACCAAGAAACCAAAUGAUCCGAUAUCAUGUGGAUUGAUGGAUCGAAACGCAAUAACCAACUGAAGAAAUUUGCUCUUGUGAAACUUGUUAUAUAGAUUCUUUCACCUGAACUAUUGUCCAAAUAGCACUCACAUCCAAAAUCCACAUCAUAUCCCAUAUGGCCUUGAGAAAGAACCAAGUAGUACGAAAAUCCCUGUAAAUUAGACGGAAGCUCAAGAGUGACACAAACUUGUGUAGAAGAGUAAUGGAACCAAUUUUCCAUGCCAGGCAUAGCAGGUAAAAAGUACCAAAUAAUUUCAUCAUCAUCAUAUAAAGAUGGUCCAGUUUCAAUUCUAUCCAUAGCAUCUUUCAAAACUGUUUGGUAUGAAUGUGGUUCCAAAUUUUUGCAGUUAAGGAGAUAAAUAAAACAAGGAUUGGGUUCCUCAUAUGGUUCAAUCGUUGAACUCAACACUUUCUCAAGAGAUUCACAAUUCGAGACAACCAAAACUGGAAUGAACUGUGAAAGUGCCGGAAUAGAUUGAAUCAUUUUACAAUCGUAAACAUCAACACGUUCAAGUCGGGGAAGAUACUUAAUGGUUUCAGGCAAGCUUCUAAUGUCCAUACCAUCCAGUGUUAAAGACUUUAACGACGAUAGUAAGGAGAUACUAUCUGGGAAUUCAGACAAUAUAGGAAUAUAAAUAAAGGUUAAUUCUUUUACACUCUGGAAGGCAGGACUAGAAAAUAAUUUAUCUAAGGUGAUAAAAGGGUCAUCUUCACGAUUCUGUGGACUCGAAAGCGAAAUAUGAUCGGCAAAGUUUUCUGGAAGAUCCACAAGACAAUCACUGAUUGGAAAGACAAACCGUUUAAGGUUUUGUUUAUGCAAUAUUGACGAUGGAAGUUCAUUCCGAUCCCACUCUGAUAAACACAAAUCCAAACCAUCAACGGAUGAAAAUGUGACUGAGAACUCUUUGAGAUUGAUGCAAUCCCUAGCUUCCAAUUUCCGGAGCGCUGGUGAACAAGUGUUACUCGAAAGGCUCUUAAGCGAUGUACACUCGAAUACAUUUAAAACUUCAAGCUUUUGGAGAAGGAAAAUUGAUGAAUCAACUUCAGGCAUGCUUUCACAAUAACGAAGUAUUACAUGUUUUAGAUUUGGGGAACCCGACACAUUUGGACACUCUAUCAGCUUUUUGGAGCCACCGAGGUCAAGUAUCUCUAAAUUUGGCAAAUCCUAUAACAAUAUACAAUUGGUCAAACAAGUUAGUGCAUUUUCUUAAAUUCUAUAGAUUUCACAACCAAGAAGGGGGAAUAAGUAUAAAGGCUCACAUGCAUUUUUUGUUUUCCUAUUUUGAUAAAACCACAAUUUUGGUCAGCCAUUUCUAAUUAUGCAAUUUUGAUCACCUAUUUUCUAAUUACGCAAUUUUGGUCCCUAAUUUUUAGAAAUUGGGAGUAUAUAUGUAAAAGAGUCUUGCUAAUGAAUGCUCACCAUCAUUUUCCAUUAUAAAAUACUUAAAACUUUUAACAAAACCAAAAAAAAUACAAGGAUCAUACUUACCAGUACUCCAUUCCAAAGUUUUUCCACAUGGCUUCCUUUCAAUGAAAGCUCCACAAGCAUUUCAGGACAAAAGGUGGAAGGCAAAGAUUGCAAUGGAUAGCCAUCCCAUUGAAAAUAUCUUAAAUUUUCUGGCAAUAAAUCAAGACCAUGUGGAAGGUUUAUAGAUUUAAUUCCCUUGUUGUCUUGAAAAGCAAGUAACCUUAGAUUUACCAUCUUUUCAAAUGAUUCAGGUCUUAAAUUAAUAUGUGUGAAUUCAGUAGCAUCUAAAAAUAUGGAUUCAACAUUCUCAGAUCCCUGUAAAAAAGUAAAUCUCAACGUUAGUAUUUCCGUAGGAAGUUGCAUUUUGUAUAUAAAGAUCAUAUGAAUAGGAAGGCAAGUGAGGGCAUCUCUUACUCUAUUAUUUUUCAAUACAUUACAAACUUCCUUAGGAUCACAUAAUCUACUGCGUUGUCCGGGAUUCUUAAGUGAUUCUUCACGAACAAUUUGUUUUCCUGUUUCUUGUAUCAAGUCAUGCAUUUGUAUGCAAUUUUCAAAGUCAACGCUUAUAAGAGCCUUGUCUAAAAGAUUACUUAUCCCUAUAUCAGCAAAGAAACCACACUCAUUUAAUAUUUUUGUUAUUCUAUUCCUUUCAUGUCCUUUGAAAAAGCACGCAAUGUCUAAAAAUAUAUCUUUCUCUUUAUCAUCCAAUUCAUUAUAACUCAAUCUGAAUAUAAAAUCAAUUUCAGUGUUUGGAAUUUCUUUCAGUUUAGCCAGUGCACAAUCCCAUUCAAUUUCACUUUUACAACGAAGUAAUGAUCCCAAUACUUUCAAAGCUAAAGGAUUUCCUUUGGCAUAAUCAACUGCUCUUUUUGAGAGCUCCACAUAUCCAUCCUUAGGUGAGACUUUUCCAAAAGCAUUCAAGCUGAAAAGCUGGAGGGAAUUUUGGGAAUUCAUCUUCUUAACUUCAUAAAUUUUUUCAAUCCCUCCACUUAUCAAGACAUGCUUAUCCCUAGUCGUCACAAUGACUGUGCUACCAGAUCCUAGCCAACCAUGUCCUACUCCAAUCAAGUUUUGCAGAAGUUCUGAAUUAUGUACAUCAUCUAUUACAAUGAAAGAUUUCAUGCGUUUGAGUCUUCUCAUGAUCAUUGAUGGUAUUAAUUUGGAAGUAUCAAUAUCAAGAUCUUCCCUGAGUAACUUGGAAAGAAGUUUGUUGCAUGUGUAAUUGAUCCCAUGUCUCUUUGAUACUUCUGUUACCUUUUCUAAGAAGCAACUGCCUUCAUAUUUAAAAGAGACCCUUUGAAACAUAGCAGCAGCAAGGGUUGUCUUACCUGUGCCUCCCAUACCCCAAAGUCCAAUGAUUUGAACUUCUGUUAGAUCAGAUUUUAUUAAAGAUUGAAUGCUCCAAUAGUUUUCAUCAAGUAUGAAAUUACAUGGAAGAUCAUUUGUAUACUGUUGAUUUAAUUUUCCUAAUACAGCUCUAGUAAUGGCUUCAAUCAUUUCAGAUUCAGUCCUAACAUGUGCAAAAAAAAAAAAAAAAAGUUAAUACAUAUCAUAUGAAUGCCAACCAAAGGUAAAAUCCAAUUCUUCAUCUGAAUCUUAGAAUUAAAAUAUUAGGAAAAACUAACAAAAUACUCAAACAUUCACACAAUUCAUUUUCAUUUAUAUGCAUUUACAGAACAUACAUGUAUUGAAUUGGGCUUGAUCCUUAAGUGUACUUAAAUUAACAUUUUUGUUGAUCAAAGAUAAUUUUCAACCAAAUAGUAUGUCAGGAAAGGCUGUUACCAGACCAAAAUUAUAAUCGACGUAAUUCUCAAUAUAAAAAUAUCAUCAACAUUAAUGAUUAAAAAUAUAAAGCACAUGGGAAUAAACAUGUAUUUACAAAUGAUUAUUUUACUUUAUUAGAUCCUACAUAGUCUCUUUAGUUUCUGUUGUGAAUCCGGUUGAAACUCACACCAAUGAAAUAAACAAUGAUGUGUGGAGCAAGUGAUAGUGGUAAUCAAUGAGAACAAAUGGUUUCCAAGCAAACAACAACAAAGCAGCCCUAGACUAGUGUAUAGCAAAACCACACUAAGAGAUAACAAAGCAUAAACAAGAUAAGCAAGAAAGGAAGAACAAAACACCGAGAAGAUUGUUGACCCAGUUCAGCCAAUAUGGCCUAAUCUGGGGGAGAGAGCAGCUCUCCAAUCCAAUAUGAGAAAGUGUUACAAAAGGUUACAAGAAACUCUAGCCUUCAAGCUUUACACAAGACAAACCCUAGAUUCUACCCUUUGGUGUUUCCCCACUCUCACAAGAUGAACCCUAAAAAAGAGAAGUCACUAGAGGAAGCUUUUGAUCCUUCCAACUAAUGAACUCCUCACUACCCAAGGUGAUUACAAUGUUUUUCCCAACCCAAGAGACACUCUCAACAAAGACACUCAACCCUUUGGUUCCCUCCUUUGCUAUCCAAGUUCUAUCUCUAAGCUCUUCCAAGCUCUCUCUCAAAAAAGCACAAGAACACAAUAUAUACUAGUCUUCCUCUGAAGAAAUUGUGCCACGAUUUCCCACAAUCGUGUCACGAUUUGCAUCUGACCCAAGGUUGACAAGUCCUUAUUAGUGAUACUUAACGAGCAAGUUUCUGAAUCGUGUCACGAUUUCCCAAGAUCGUGCCACGAUUUGGCGUCCUGCAAACUAGCUCACGGCACCUUGAAAUCGUGUCACGAUGCCAAAAUCGUGUCAUGAUUUCUCUGUUCUUCCAGACCACAAAUUUGAAGCCAAUAACAACAGUUUCUUUAGUUUGUUAGUCUCUUAGUCUUAACUUGUUGUUGUCGUCGUUGUCUAUUAUGAUCAUGUUGAGUUUAUUGUCUUUCUAGUUCCUACCCACCGUGUAUUUUUUCGUGUGAACUAAGUAGGUAUCAUAUACGCACAAUUGCAAAGAAUAAUCUUUCAAGUUGCAUAUGAUUAUAAUAGAUGGUAAAACUGUCCUUCAAAAAAUUUAUUUAAUGAUGUUGCAUUUCAUGAUUUAAGAUAUUCGGUGAUUCUUUCCUUUUCAUAUUAGUAACAUAUUUUACUAAAAAUACAAGGGAAUCUAGUUACCCAAGAGUAACAUAUUCUGUCCUUCAAAAUUGAUUUAAGUUGUUAUUUUCUAGUUUGCACUCAACUUGAAUAUGCUUCUAAACCUUAUGAUUUUUUAGCGAUUUAUUUUUUUUGCGUUUUCAUCAUAGUCAAUAGAUCAUAUAGCGUCAAUCUUCACUCAAUUGCGAUCAAUUAGCAAAUUUGAUAGGUUUUGAUGAUGAUGGAUAAUUGAAAGGUGGGGAUUCCGCAUUCAGAUGGAUGAGUGGGUUGAGAUUGGUGGUUCGGUUAGGUAAUCAGGGUUAUGUAAAACAAAAUGUUAAAUGAGCAAUAAUUCGGUAGUUAUCUAACGGAGGUAGAAAAUCGAAAUUUUUAAAAUGAACAUCCGAUAGUUAUCUACCGGAUGUACAAAAUAGAUUUUUUUUUUCUUUUUAAAAUGAACAUCCGGUAGUUAUCUACCGGCUGUACAAAAUGAUAUUUUUUUAUAUGAACAUCUGAUAGUUAUCUACUUGACGUGUUAUUAAGGACAAUUUCAUAAUUUUAAGAGGUCUAAAGAGAUAUGAGAGGGGGGGCCUAAAAAGAACCUUCCUUGUUAGUUUACCUAGAAGCAAUAUAAUUAAUGCAAAAUUACCAUAGGGUUCAUUCUCAAGACACCAAAAACACAUUACCUCGUGCAUUUUUAUACGUUAGAUUUUUUUUUUGUUAAACCUUUGUUUCUAAGGGAAGGUGCCUCUUUUUUUUUUUUUUUUUUUUAUAUUUUUUAUAAUUUCUUUUAACCCUAUUGUUGAAAUAAAUAAAUAAUUUUUCAUCUCCCUUUCUUUCUCUGGCCCUCCAUCAUAUACUUUCUUUCUUUCAUCUUUGUGUUCUCUUUACCUGCUUUGGUUGUUUUUUUUCCAUAUCAUUUUUUUUUUGUGCUUUAUAUAUAUAGGAAUAGUACUAUAUUAUUAGAGUUUUGCGUCGGGGGUUUACUAGUAUAAAUUCCAUACUGAAGUUUUAUUGCAUAAGAUUUUCUAUGAUAUAAUAGGAAUUUUUUUACUGAAAUAUUCUUAUUUCUUUCAUUGUAUUCUUAUGUGAUUAGGUGCUUUUAGAUGUGAACAAUGAAUUGUAACAAUUUCCUUUAAAAAAUAAAGAAUUGUAACAAUCUUUUAGAUAUUUAUUAAUUAAUUAUCGAUUUUAAUCACAGAACCAUGAUUUAGAGGUUUCUUCGGUUCGAUCUCCGAUCUGAUUUUUACAACAUUGAUAUUAAUUUGACGGGCAGACCGAUAAAAUUUAAUUUUAAUGUAUGCAAAAACAGAAAAACCUGUAUGUGGUGGAAUGAAAACCAGACAAAUUAGCUGCUUGAAAAAGAGCAUUCUUCCAAUUUUGCAUCAUCUUAUCAUCAUUUUUGCCUUGUUUCUUGUGUUUAAUCAACGCAGUGCCAUAACUACCAGUCUGCUUCCGCACGUGUGAAGGGUCAACAUGGUAGAACACUGGAAUAACAACAACCUUGUCAUCUUCAUUUUUGUUACAACACUCCAUUAUUUCAACAAGUUCGUUCAAACACCAUGUUGAAGAGGCAUAGUUUUCCGAGAACACCACAAGAAAUAUAGUGGAUUGUUUGAUUGCUUUCACUAGUUCUACCCAAACUUCAUCUCCUUUCUCGAUCCUGUAGUCUAUGUAGGUAUAAAUCUUGCUUCGGCACAAAUCAGCGUAAAGAUGGCUUGUGAAUCCAGCGCGAGUGUCAUCACCUCUAAAGCUGAUGAAAACAUCAUAUUUCUUCAUAGGCAUAGUAGCAGCAUGAGAAGAAGAAGAAGAAGAAGAAGAAGAAGAAGAAGAAGAAGAAGAAGCCAUAUAAUCUAUGAGUUAUUGUCCUUAGAAUGUGGGAAUACCCACAUGUAUAAAAGCACAUUUUCAUAAUGUGUGUGGACCCUUCUUUAAGCACUUUGCAGAAAAAUGGGAUGAUAAAGUGGAACACCAUGAGUGAUGCCUUUACUUUUUCUUUUGAUUUAUAGCAUAUGAUUUAUUCCUUUUUUUUUGGCAGUAUUUUUUUUAUAGUAAGGUUAGCAGUUACCGGAUGGAAUAUGGGAUUUCUUAGAAUUCCUUCUUUUUUUAGUGGUGGCCGGGGUUCGAAUUUCGGACCUUGCAUAUUUUAUGCAUUGUCCUUAUCAACUGAGCUAAGCUCACGAGGACUUAGAAUUCCUUCGAUGUUUCUUUAAAAGUAUUUAUUUUUGUUGAAUGAAAUUUUAUGUUUGUUUUGAUCCGAUAAAAGUGAAUAUCCAGUAAAAAUUGCAUUUAUCUAGUAUGUUUUACUGUUUUUAUGUUAUGUGAUCUAUUUGUUUCUUCUAUUUAUGUAGUGAUAAUUUUAAUUUUUUUUUUUUUUUUUUUGUGCUUUAGUUAGGAAAGAGGAAUGGGUUCUGAUGGAAUCAAAGCUAAUUUGAGAUUUUGACAUUUGAGGAUUAGAAUUUUAUUCUCUUAUAUUUAGGAAUCAAAGCCAAUUUGUCUUGAAGAAUUUUAUCUUGAAGAAUAAAUGUGUGAAAAAUUUGAGAAUUUUAUUCUUUUAUCGUGUGAAGAAUAAUUCUAAUAUGGAAUUGAAGAUAAUAUUUUGGCCAUCUCAACAAACAAGAACAUUAAUGUGAAAAAAUCCGAAUUUAAAAAAUAUGUAGGUUGUAGGAAUUACAUUUUAGUUCAUAAUCAAUCCAAAAAGAGACUCUGUAUCCGAUGUAAUCUAUCAAUUUGAAUGAAUGAAUAUCAUUUAUUUUUGUCAAAAAAAAGAACAUUAAUGUGAUUAAUAACGGCAGACCUUGGUAGAUGAUGGAUAUAGAACACGAGGAUAAUGAUAAUUUAUCUCAUGUGCAUAAAACACUAAGGGUGUGUUUGGAUUGAGGGUUUAGGAGGCGAAGGAGGGAGGAAUUUACAUUUUUUUUAAUUACGGACUAUAUAACAUGUUUUUCUAAAAUAAAUUAAGUGUGAUUGAAGUAUUAUACGAUCGUUUAUCAAGUUAAUAUGUUAAUUUUUUUAAAAACAUUUCAUAGUGUCCGUAUUUUAAAAAUGAAAAACCACCAAAUUAAGUGGUCGAGUUUAUUAUGACGUUGGUAGUCUGUUACGGCUAACCUUAAUGGUUUUGGGUCUUUUAGCAACACUUAUGAAGUGUUACAAAUUUAUUUCUUGCCUGUGAUUCAUCGAAGAGGCAUUCCACAAAGUUCAUUUAAUUAUCUUACCAUCAUUUAAUCUCUUCAUGAAUUACAUGUUCCCCGCAGAUUCAUUGUCUUUUACCCCAUUUCUCUUAAUAUAUUAUCUAUUUAGUGAGAAAUAAAAAAAAAAUUGUGAUACUACUCCUAAUUAAAAGUUAAUAUACUAAUUUGUUUAAUGAAAUAGACGAAUAACCAUGUUAUCAUGGAACAUGUUCCUUCCUUAAAAAUAAAACCUUGUUAUGAUGGUGUUGCAAGAAUUUUCUCUACUUUUGGCACAUCCGUUAUAUAGAUUCGAAGAUAACCCGUAAUCAAUAUAUAGGAGGCAAUGCUAGAACAUCAAUCAUUCAUACCAUGAGCCCUACAUGCAUGGAGUUAUGUUGAACAAACCAAAAACACCCUCCCAUUUGAAAGGUGUGCUAAAGAAGUGGCAACUAGUUCUAGAACGGUUGUAUUUGACUUUAAUGAUUAUUUAAUCAGUGAUACAAGAUAGACCUAAAUGAGAAAAGCACUAUUCACAGUUUCUUAAAUUUGUCUAUUUAAACCCAUGUUUAAUCGUCGACAAUUAAGUACCUUCAAAAUAUGUUUUAGGUGAAUAGUUUUUACAAUCAUGCCUAAUCAGUUUUGAUAAGAAAGGCUCAUUAUAAUUAUAAAAAUAAAAAAAAAAAUUAAAUAGCUUGGAUAUAACAGCGAAAUUGCUAGGAAUUUUAGCUAGAGUUUUACUGCAAAAUUGUUGUGACGAUAUAUCCUAGCGAUAUAGUUACGACACAUAAACUUUUGAACAAUAUUUUACUAUAAUUUAAUUGGUAAUUAGCUACAAUUUUUUCAUAUAUUAUUUUCAUUUUAGCUAGUAAAUAUUUUGCCAGAUCAUUUUCCGUUCAAUGCAUGCUAUGACAGCUAAUUCAUAAUUAUUCUCUAGCUAAAUGUAUUUGCGCUAGAGAUUAGCUACAAAUUUGCUUAGAUUUCAAUCUUGCAGCUAAUGGCAGAUUUUCUUGUAGUGCACGCAUAAUGAUUUUGAUUUAUUAUAUUGCCUAACUAUAAUUUAUCAUGUCAUUUUUUGUGCCGAUCAAGAUUCACUUCAAUCAAUAUUUUACCACAUUCACACAUUCGAAAUAUCUACAGUAGUUGGAUCAAGAUCAAAAGAUCAUGAUCUAACGACCGCUGAUAUGCCAAAGAUGAAUGUAGAAAAAAUAUUAAAUACUGAGGCUGAAUUAAAAUAUUAGGAAGAACAAGAACAAGACAAAUACAAUCUAUGUAUAGUAUACCAUAUAUUUUGCAAAUUAAACAGUGAGAUUUGUGGUCACAACUACAAACUAAAUAGGAAAUAAUUUGAAAUGAACCUAAAAAUAAGUGGUUUCCCUAGAGAAAGUCGAAGAUUUAAAAUCAAGGCCGCAAAGGAAACCUGUAAUUUCAAACCAUGAAGGCACUAAAUGUAGGUGGCAAUGACACGAAAUCUAACCAUUUUGAAGUUCUAACUCCCUUCUUAGUAGUGGCGGAGCCUUUCAUGGGCUGGGGUGGGCCACGGCCCACCCGAAAAAAUUAAAAAAUCAACAAUUAUAGGUCUAUUUUGUGAGAUUUUAUGCAAUUUUGUGUCGAUUUUAUGUUUUGGUUGAUCCAAAUUCUUGCAAAGUGGUGUAGUGGCCCACCCGAAAAUUUAAAUAAUUCAAUUAUAGUUUUAUUUUGCGAGAAUUUAUACAAUUUUAUGUCGAUUUUAGGUUUCGGAUGAUCCAAAUUCCCGCAAAUUGGUGUAGUGGCCCACCCGAAAAAUUUAAAUAAUUCAAUUAAAGGUCUAAUUUGCGAGACUUUAAACAAUUUUUCAAUAGUUACUUUUAGUGGCCCACCCUGACAUUUUUUUUCUGGCUCCGCCACUGCUUCUUAGCCAUUAUUUCAUUAGUUAAAUUUACUUUGAAAUCCAGAAGUCCUAGCUCAACUGGCAAAAUGCCGAAAUUGUUAGGCCGGAUGUCAUGACCGGGGUUCGAACCCCGGUACCUCCACUUGUGUGUGUGAGUUUAUAAUGGCUUUGCCAUUUCGUCUAUCUACCAAAAAAAAAAAUUACUUUGAAAAUUGAGAUUCACUUUGUAGCCAUGAAACGGUUUUAUAACAGAGUGAAUUUGAGAUUCACUUUGAUAUAUAUAUAUAUAUAUAUAUAUAUAUAUAUAUAUAUAUAUAUAUGUAGUUUCUUUGGAAACAAAUAGGUCAUGGAAGGAAAUGGGAGAUGCAGAGAAGAGCCGGUCGAUAGAAAAAGACUAUUGUUUUUUGGUAUUGUCGAUCUUACUAACAUCUUGUUUUAAUUUUUUUUUACUCUUUCAAUUAUUUAAAUAUUUAGUAUGUAUAUUUUUAUCAUUGAAUUAGAUUUUAUCCUUUAUUUAGUAGAAAAUUAAUUUCAGUAUAAAUAUCAUAAAUUAAUUUUUAUUCGAAUUUGUAGUGGUAAAUAAAAAUAAACGAAUUAAAUUUAAUAAAUAGUAUUAGGUUCUAGUGAAAAACACAAAACUGUUGGUAAAAGGCAUGUUUUUUUUGCUACUUUUAUUCAUGACGUUUACGCACCGGAUAAACCGUAGGUAGAACUUAAAACUUUUGGUGACAGUCACUUGAACUUUUCCUCUCAGACACAACCCUUGAAAUUGGGCGUACGUAAUUGACGCCUUUUUCUAGUAUUGAAGGACUUCUAUGGACAAAUAUUAUCUUUCUGUUGAUGUCAAAUUUCUUGAAGUGAUAUGUUGGGGGUAUAAGUGUGAAUAGUUUGUUGGAACAAAAUGUGUUUCACAAUGAACCUUAAUGAGUUUUGAUGAUAACAUGGUAUUAAAAAUUGUCAAUUGGUUAUUACUAAUUAUUGUUCAAGUGUACAGGACCAAAGGCUAGUCAAGUAAUUUCAACAGGUCUUGGAAGAACAAUGAAAAGCAAAAGAAUUCCAAGCAUCUGAAGAAAACUGCUCCUGAAGUUGAAGUGCUUCUGAAGUGAUGACGUCAUCAGAAGCAAGGUUUUCAUCAGAAGCUAUAUCUUCACCAGAAGCUACAUUUGAUCCUUUAAUCAAUCUGAAGAUUCAAAGUAGCUGGUUCUCAAUUCAAUCUUAUCUAAGAAGAACGAAGAAUUGAAAGGGAUGUACCAACGGUCAUAUGGAUAGCACUGAGCAUUUGUCCCUCGUUAACAGAGUUGACAAAGUACAAGUGUACAACCACUACCUCCACUACUCUGUUUUUGUCCACGCUACAAGACAAGACAACAGCUAUGCCUGCAUAAUUUGUGUCCUCAAGAUGGGAAUGAAUUUGAAGCUUAUUCUUCAAAGGAGUACACUCAAAUCAGGCAAAGGAUUACUGGUGGAUGAUCAAAGGAUUUCAAACGACUCUUUAGACGUUCUGAUUAUCUCAACGUCUCUUUCACGCCUCUAUAUAAAGGAGUGAAGACUUGAAGAUUAAAGAUAGAGAUAUACAAGUUCAAAAGCGCCAAAACUCUGUCAAAUUGAUUCUACAAAGCACACUGAAUUUCUGCACUGAUUUGAUACAUCUUAGAAAUUCAAAGUCUAGAGUCUUUAUUGUAUUGUAUUGAGAACACCACUGAUUGUAUAUCAAGUGUUCAAGUCAAACUCAAUUCUCUGUAUUUUUGUUUGAUCAGAAGUCUCUUGCCUGCGUGCUUGAGCAUUAGAAGUCUCUUGCUUAGUGCUUGAGCAUUGGAAGACUCUUGCGUGUGUGCUUGAGCAUUUUUGUGAAGUCUCAUACUUAGAAAGUAUUGAGCAUUUGUAAUCUUUGUGAUUAUAGUGAAAUCUCCUUGGAAGUGCAAGGGGGACUGGACUACUUCCGUGUUGUGGAAGGAACCAGGAUAACUGCUUGUGUCUUUGUCUUUCUUUUCUCUGCUCUGCUCUGUUCUUUUCCGCUGCAUAUCUAAUUCUGAUCAUUUCAUCAGAAGCACUCACAAACUGCUUCUGAAGGUUUAUCAGAAGAAGAUUUUUAGAGAGAAAAAGAAAACACAAUUCAACCCCCCCUUCUUGUGUUUUUCUCACCUUCAUAGUUUAGUCUCACAUCGACUAUAAAUUAAUUAAAUGUAGGAUAUAUAACUUAUAAGAGUGGCGACUCAUGCCUAAUGUCUUAAGGUUUUGGGGUGGAGAAGUUGUGUCCAAUCUCUUGAUGGUCCUGAUCAUUUACCAAUUGUUUCUCUUAGCGCUCUCCCGGACUCUGCAACAAUAUCUUGAAAAACCAAAUGGUUAUAAAAUCGUUAACUUGCAUUGCUUUUUCAGCACUGUCUUGUUUUUGCCAUGCCAUAUUGCAAAUUUACACUACUAGAUUUGCACAAACCUUGGUGUUAUUAAUUAACUUUUUCCAAACAUAAACUCUUGUAUUUCAUAUCACAUGUCUAACACAUACAAGAGGUACACACAUCAUGAGUAUUUCUUAUUGAUGUAAAGUAAACCAUAAAUACCAACAAACAAACAAACAAACAAACAAACAUAACAACAUGACCAUGAUGAGGUAAUUUGACUACUUCACACAUUUUAUUUAAAGCAACAGAACAAACAAUGAAACUCAUUAAAUGGAGAUACUAUUAGGAAUGCCUCUGCCAGUCAAUCCUUCCUCACUAGAAGGAUAAAGCAGAGUGUAUGGCAUCUUCACAGGCCCGUAUCGGUUUCUCAAUGACUCAUCAUUGUUCCUUUUGAUGAGCUUUGCCUCAAUUUCAGCCAACUUCCUUCCAAACCUCUUGAAAGCUUCUAAUGGCUGUGAAUCAAAAGUCCAAGCCUCACCUUCAUUUCUCUGUCCAAGGUAUUGCUCAUCAGAAGCAUGCCUUGACAAGACCUCUAUGAUUGUAAGGUCAGUUAGGGUAUCAUUUUUUGGUGUGAUUGUCCUCAGAUACGCCUUCUGAAAGUUCUUAGAAAGCUCGUCAUACUCAGCAGACCCUUUCUUAGGCAUGUGUCUCCGGCUCUUAGUUGGUCGGUUAAGUAUAUAUCCUCCAUAUGGGUAUUGACCAAAAUUAACAGCUGCAUGAUGUGCUGAAGCAAUCCAUAUGAGGAUAGUGCAAGCUUCAAUCAACUCUGUACAAGUUUGCAUCUUAAACCACCAUGUAGCAUUCUUCAAAUCACCAUGACCCACCUCUACAACUUCUCUCCAAAAUGCUUGCAGUUCAGAAUCUUGCGCAACAGCAACAUCUGACUUGUAGUAGAAAUUCACAUAUUCUUCAACCCAUGACUUGAUAGCAUCCCAUAUCUCUAGUCCAUCAGCAGCAUAAGGGUAGUCCUCUAUCAGAAGGCGAAUUCCAUGUGGGGAAGUUGGAUCCUCAACAGCCACUCCUCUAGAUAUAGCAUGCAAGGAAGAUAUCAUUAACAUAAAAAAUACUUUUGACAUCAAUAUCUUUUUUACCAAGAUUAUUAAAUUUCUAUUGUAGUCACAAUCCUAGCCAUUAUAGAGAAUUGCGGUAAAAUAUAGUUGAUGCCUUAUCUUAGAUCAUGGUUACUAGCAUUAUUUCAAUCCUUUUUUAACUAAUGAAUGAGUAGUAACUAAUUUUUUUUUGAAGGUUACCUUUUAAGUAGAUCAUUAGGUAGUCCUUGAUCUGGGAAAACCCAAUCCUUAUAUAAUACAGAAGACAGUUCUAUAGAAUGACUUCCCAAUAAGAAUGUUGAUUCUAUAAUACCCUCUGCAUUUACCAAGACACUCCUUGCAAGUGCAUUAAUGUUCAUUGUGUCACGAUAAUGUGGAAGCAGAAGUUUGUGAAUAGGGUGAACCACACUAAGAUGCCUAUUAGUUGCUAUGAUGAAUGGCUCAACAACAGCGUGCGUGUUCAACCUGUUACACAUGUAGAUAUUCAUGAAUCAAUCUUAGAUAUAUAAAAUUAAAUAUGUUUGAUUCUAUAAAAAUUCAUCAACAUAAUUGUACCAGUGGCUGACAAGUUGGUGAACAGAAGAGUCAUUUACAAUAACAUAAGCCUUGGCAAGGAGCCAAAUAGAAGAUUCAACACCUUCCUUUGCAGGCAAGUAAACAUCACUAACAGGACCAAAGCUAUCAGCCUGAGGAUGUGGGCUACUUAGCUCAAUGGCUAAUGGCUUCAAAGUUCCAUCAUUUUGUAAGAAAAUGAUAGUUCUAGUAGCAUAUGCCUUUGUUGUAUCAGCUGCAUUUAUUUUCCUCAGAUAUGGAUAUAUUGAGUCAUGGUGAUCAAGUAUGUAAAGCCUGUUGUUUUGGAUAGCCUAUUGAACAAAAUAUAAUUUAGUCAUUGCAAUUAUUUGAAUAAUAAAUAACCACAAAAUAACAUUGUCAAAGUUAAAUUAUAUGCAUAGUAUUAAUGUUAAACUAUGUCAUUACUUCUUCUACAGUGACCCCAUCCAUGUUUAGCUCUAACUGUUCUUCGGUUAUUGUGCUCGUAUUAUCACCAUAAUCGGUAUUUAGCUUGCUCUUUGGUGGGAACUCCUACAUUAUAUAUAACAAGUAAUACUGAAAUUAAGAUUGAAAAUAUAGUAUGUAAAGUGGACAAAAUAGAGUUUAAUUUUGUGUUUGUAAAGAAAUCGUUAAACUAUUAAGUUUACCUGAAUUCUUUUUAUAAUGUGUGGAUUCACACCAGCAAUCAUCUCCCUUGCAAAUUCUUCAUCAGUCAUCCACGCAGACUGAUUAACUGCUCAAAAUAAGAGCAUUGCAAAUGAUCUGUAAUAUUUUUAUUUAUUCUAUGAAAAUAUAUUGCUAGGACUAACUAAUAGAUACCUUGAAUCACUUUAGGCGGUGGAAACUUUAGGGCCGAUUCACCAUCAGUUCGGAAGAGUUCCUUGAAAAAUGGUAUGGGGCUAAGUUUGCUAAGUAUACUAGUAGGUAAUUUAAUCCCACCAUCAUAAAAUGAUCGCACAUCAUCAAAGCUAUUAAAUUCUGGCUUAUUGAGUUGUAAUGUAAUUGCAGAUUGUAAUUGAGGUAUGAAACUUUGAGAAGCUGAUUUGAGUAUGUAAACAAGAAAAUCUGAAGACUUCAAGUGACCAAAUGCUUCAUCUCUUGGAACGUAAACAAAGUCGUCCCGUCUCUCACUUUUAGGAUCUGUUCACAUACAAAAUUGAAGACACGCAUUAGCAAGUACUAGCAAAAAGAUCGAUAACUUUAAAGUCAUAAUAGAGAAAAUGUUUUGAUCACAGCACCAUUAAUUUAAUAUGGAACUUUAAAAUUAUAACCUUUUUUAGCUGGUUUCCUGCCGGUUCUGCCCCUUCGAGGGUAAGGCAAGGUGUCGGAUCCUCCAAUAACGGGACGAGCCAAGUGUGCGUACUUGUCAGGAUCACCCAAGUCAUUGUAAACAUCGUAGUCAUAGAUUCUAUCGUGUUCCUUGCGCUGACCCGUUCCAUCUCCUCUUAAAGUCUUCAAUUCUUCUUCUCUAUAGUAGACUAAUGGAGCUGGUGUUUCACUUGGAAGGUAUGUCUAUAUUUUUAUUUAUUUGAUGGUGUAAGAUUUCAGGAAAUAUAGUUCAUAUUUAAAGGUCUUGCUAACAAGUGCCCUAAUGUUAAGAUUAAAAUAUUGAAACCAGUUGAUAGCUUUCAUGUAGAAAAAAUUGUUUUUUGAUGUUCCAAUGUGUUAACAUUUCACUAUAUUUAACAUGCACGAUAAAUAUGGUAUAUUCAUUACCUUGUUGGCGAAGAAGAUGCGUUUCGUUUUAUACUUGUCAGCACUGUAAAUCCAUGAGUUGCAUACAAAGUUGAUGGUUCCAUGGUUUGGAAUAUCUUCAAGUGUCAAACUUACAAGGAAGAAUUCUCGUGUCAUGUUACUCUCAAUAUAAAAUGCUCCUGGAACUCCCAUGUCACUAUUCCAUUCAAAAUGAAUAUCAUAUGCAGACUGUCCUGCUCCCAAAAUUGGCAUGGAAGUAACAAAACCUUCAAUAAAUGUUUUCUCUCCGACUUUCCCUUUUCCGCUUCCUACAAAUAUGUUACAAGUUUGAUUUACAAUUUCAGCAAUGAUAAUACUCCCUCCGUCUCACAUCAGGUGUCACAUUUGAGUUUUACACAAUUAUUAAAAAAAUGAUUAAUAAUUUUGAUUUUAAUGAUAAAUAUGUAUCAUUUACUAACAUACUUUUAUUAAUUAUAAUUAGUGGAAUAUUUUUAAAUGAUUCAAAUACAAUAGAUACAGAUAUGUUAAAAGAAAAUAAUAAUAAAUAUUGUAUUAUUAGUGUUAUAAAAGGGACAAAUAAAUUAAGAAAAAAAACAUAUAAUUUAAGACGGAGGGGAAAAAACAUCUAAUUUGAAACGGGGGAGUAACAUUCAAGAUUAAUUUAUGUCAAAGUAACAAAUUACUCUUUUUGUGCCAAAAAAAUAUUAAUUCUUUCCACCUGAAUAAAGUGUUUUAUAUAGGAGUUGAUAGUUGAUUAUAUCUUUCAUGCUAUAAAUAAGUUUUUGGUCCCUUUAAAUAUCUCAAAUUUCAGUUUUUAUAGUUCAAAAUAUUUUCAGCAAAAUUUGGGUUUGCUAAAAAUAACUUAGAAGGAAAAACUUGCCAAAUUGUUUUAGAGAGACUAUAUAUAAAAUUUUAGAUAUUUAUACAGUAUCCCUAAAAAAAAAAAGAAAUUUAUACGGUAGAAUUAUUUUUUUUAACCCAUUUUGUAAUGAUAAAACAAAAGGGAAACUGAAUUGAAUCUUAUGGACUAAGGGUCAAAUAAUAGAGGAAAAAAAAAAUCAAAUUAUUGAUAAGUAUUAAUAAAAAAAUUAAACCUCACAAAGAUUAAUUUAAUGUAUCAAACUAAUAACUGAAGACUAACAUAUCAUAUGAUUUUCUAUGUAAAAUGUUACCAGAUCGAAAAUCAUAUGAUAUGUUAAUGAGGUAAAUCAAGACUAACUUCUGAUGUGUGUGUAUAAACUUCAAUUCAUUUGUAAACUUUAUUAAUGUUUACUCGUUAAAGCGUUAUUGAGCAGCGCAACACUGUCCAAAUACUAUAUGUGUUCAGUGUUGUAAAUUUAUGACGAGCAUUAUGUAGUCUUAGAAUGAGAAAUGAAUAAGUUUAUUACCAUCGGCAGUGGUAGCACUGAUCAACCUGAGAGCCACAGAACGGCCGACAAAGGCCCCGGCGGUGUCAAUUAGAGUGCCGGCGACACCACCAACAGCCUUGAUUCCAGUUUUGACCAAAUUAGUGGUGUUUUUAGUUGCACCAUUGAUGGCAUUGAUGUCGAAAACAUUUGUUUGCAUCAACACAACUGUGCCCUUCACCUUUUGGCCUCUCUUAAGCAUACUUUUGAACCCUGAAUACAUCUUAAUUUGCUGCUUAAAUUUUUUUUUUUGCAAAUUAAUGAGAGAAAAGUUUGUGGCUGGCAAGAUGCAACCAUCUCAUUAUUUAUAGGGCCAAAAUUAAGCUUCUGAUUAAGAACAAAUAAUUUUUUUUUAAUUGAUUAAUUGAUCAUUGACAUCGUGCAAAAACUAUUAGUAAUAGGCUAAUCGUGGAAUAUAAAAUAAUGAUGUAUUUUAUUAUAGAAAGAAGAUAACAAUAUGUGUUACACAAUCAUAUUAUGACAAAUGGAUUUUUGAACUAUAGUUAAUUAGAUUCUAACGCGUACACCAAUAGUAAUAGGCUAAUCGUGCAAAAAUUAUUUCCUGAUACGAGGUCGUCUUUCUUUCCAUUGUUAAUAAUAUCCCUUCUCACAACUCACAUUCACAUACCGUAACCAUGGUUCAAUUUAAUAAUAUUAAUAAUAAGAGGAUGUACAAGAGUUAAUUAAACUAUGCAAGUGCAACUCCUAUAUGAUUUUAAGAUGAACAUAACUCAACUCUUACAAAUAUGAUUUGUAAGGUGAGGGGUUUCCCACUUAUAAUAAACUCAUUUUAUCUUCAUUUAAUAUAGAACUUUUACACUGCUCAUAUAUGUUUAAGAAUGGACGACAGGAGUGUGACUCGAGUUGUAUGAAAAUAGAUGAUCAAAUAGAUUUUAUUACGACUAUAAUACAUAAUGAAGGUUGUCCCCGUGAGCAUACUCAGUUGAUAGGGACAUACAUAAUUAUAUGCAGGGGUUGGGGUUUGAACCCAGACACCCCACUCAUUCACCUUGAAAAAGGUGAAUUCUAGCCACUAGAUUAAAAAAAAAAAAAUUAAGAAUUCAUUUUCAGGUAUAGUUUUAUCAUCAAGUGUGAAACUAUUAAUAUAUGCAAUGUUAAAAUAUAAAAUAAAUUUGUUUUUAUUUUUUAUCGCAAGAUUUAUCAUUAAACUUUAUUUAGUUGUUUUGACUCAUUCCUUUUUCUAUAUUUUAGCUGUUUUAGUUGAAUGUAGUUCCGUUAGAACUAAAAUUUAAGUUUUUUUUUUUUUUUUUUUUUGGAAAGUUCCAUGAAAAAGAAAUUAGUUUUUUUUUUUUCUUUUUUUCUAGUACUGCAAACUUUAAAAAUAUAAUUUUUCUGAAUGCUUUUGUAUGAAUGAAUUUUGAGGAGUGUUAGAAACACUCUCUUUUUAACACCUACAUUGAUAUUUAAUUUACUCUUUUAUUGAAUGAAUUCAUUGAUAUUUACUAUUUUAUUGAAUAAAUUAAAUGUGUAUUAUACAUUUUAAAAUGAGUUUCACAUAAAAUGGUGGAUUCCAUAGAUUUCGUCAAAUAAAAUAGUGGAUGUUAGAAAGAAUGUUCAACUCUAUGGUCUAUUCACUAAUAUUUUCACACCCCACAAAAUAUUUCUAAUACAAAAUAUUUUGUCAAGAUUGAAUAAACUUUCAAAAAAACUUGAGCUAAAUUUUCCAGAAGAAAAAACUGUUGAUUGGAAUACACGGGGAAUUUUUUUUUGGAAUUUUAGUCACGCUUCAAAUGUGGUUAAACUGCCGAAUUUGUAAAACGUAAUACUUGGAAAAAGAUUUCCAAAAUUUUAUCCAUAGUUGCUAAAAAUCCUGAGGAAAAUUCAAUGAAUCUGCCGUUUAGUAUCAUUUCAAGAAACUUUUAAUCAAUUGUAAAAAACUUUUACUUACCAGAAAUAUUUUGUCCGAGUUAAAGUCAAAUGACAAAAAGAUAAAAUUAACAAUAGAAUUUUUUAUAGUUUGUAGGGAGGAGAUGUAUGAAUGCAGGGGUAAAGAUUAAAGUGAAUUUUUAUUUAAACUAUAGAGCAAAAGCAAAAGCCCGCGACAUGUGCAAUGAGGCUAAGGCUUUGUAGAGCAAGAGUGAUUUUUUAUUUUUUCACAAGAGUUGUUAGGGCAAUGAGGACUACCCUACUCUUCCUACCCCACAAAGUAUAUAACAUGUCUAAUUUAUUUCCAACGACUUUAAAUUAUUGAGGAAUAGGAGUUUAGUCCUUUCAUCAUUUCAGUUUUUGGGAUCGAAAAAUUGAAAAAGUCAAAAUUUGAAUUUUUUUUUUAAUGUACUAGUUUUUCUAGUCCAUACGAAGAGAUACAUAUCAUGUGAAAUUCACACAUAAGACUGUAAGAUUAUAAGUUUGAAGCGGACAAAGAUGUUCAAACUAAAAAUAUUGAUAUUAGUCAUUGAAAUAGACCAUGCAGACAAGAAAAUAUUAGUUUUUGAAAGAAAGAAAAAACAAUGUUACGAGGAACUCAAAUUUUGAGUUUUUGAUAAAUUAAAAAAUUUGAAAAAAUGGGAGUAUUUGUUAACAUUUCCCUAUAAAUGAAAACGAUAAAACCAAACAUUUUAAAAGAAUAUAGUAGUAUGAUUUUGAGGGGUAGGUAGAAUAAUUCUUCUGGAGCGAUAAUGCUAUGAGAAGAGCAACCAAUUGCAUAUACUUGGAUAUGGUUUGGAAGGAGCACAUUUUCCAACUCAUUAAUUAUUUUAGAGAGUGACUAAUUUUUUUUUUUGUUAGACAUGGUUACACGUAAGUACAAGUUUAGUUAGGGGUGCCCUACUUUCGUGUGGUGAAUUCGAUGAUUUUUGACUUUGGAUCGCGUGUUCAAUUUCAUCAUUCUUGGAGAGAAUGAGACUUUUUAUCUUGCACAACUCUCGAGUCUCCUUCUAAUUAACUUUAUAAACUUAUUUUUGAUCAUAUCUUUGGGGCUUGCAUACUUAGAAGUGUUUGUUUUGAUUUGUAGUUUUUCUUUGGGCUUCGACCAUCUUUUGUACCAAAACAAGAGAUUACUUUUUGCGUCCAAUGAGUUUCUCACGCACCAUAUUUUUUUUUUAAUACCCUUUAGAUUCUAUAAUUCAAACAGCACUUCAGCUUAUAUAAUCUGAAAACUUGUAUUUCCAAUAUUUACUUAACAUCGCUGAUUUACAAAACAUCAUUGACAUAUACUAUUAAGAAAACAUAAUUGAAAAUGACCAAAAAUUGAAACAAAAAUGUAGAGACAUAAAAACGAAUUCAAAUUCUCAUUAUAUUAAUAGAUCAUAUCUUGAAAGUACAUUUACAUUAACAUCAAAGCAUAUUACGCAAAAUUAUUAAACAUCUAAUAUUAAACAUAUGGUGCAAGAAGAUCAUGUAGGGGUAAAAAGAAUAUGAUGGAGGGGGAAGGAGGUUGGAGUAAGGUUUUUUUUUUUUUUUUUUAGGAUGAAGGAUACUUUGAUGGUCAACCUUACACCUAAACAUAUCAAAUUUACAUCCAAACAUAUGGUACAAAUUUGCAUAGUGGCACCAUCUUCGUUGAUCGCUCAUACGAUCGCUAAAAUAAAAGAGUAACCUUUUUGUAUAAAAGGUCAACGAUGGAAGCAUAUUAAUUGUGGAAGAAAACAGAAGGAGAAAAUGUGAAGAAUGAGAAUUUGUGAAGGAUUGGUGGGUAUUUACAGGAGGAACUUGUGAAGGAUGAUGCAUAGAGUGUAUAAGACCAUUGAUUACGGUCAAAAAACGUGGUAAACCUGGUUCGACCGGUCAAUGAAACUGAUAUGACCAAAGAAAAACUUGUUCAAUGAGUUAGUCUUGCUGAGCUGAUUCGAACUCUGAACUAGUUCAUAUUAGGUAAUUUGAACUCAUCCCAGGAAUGUUAUUAUAUAAUCCGAACUAAUUUAAGAUUGUGUUAAAAUUCAUACCUUAUAGGGUGAGGGAGAGUUUAAAUUAUAAAUUAUAUAAUUCAAACCAGUUCAAUACAUGUUCUUUUUGUGAUCUACAUUGCACCAACAGUUUCCUUUUAUGUUUUUUUUCUUUUUCUGUGUUCUGGUGUUGUGCCUUAUUGGCCUUUUUUUCCAAAACUGUGACACCAAUUUUUUAGGGCGAGAAUAGAAUUUGAUUGAUUCUCUUCAUUAAAUUCAAUGGAUUUCAUAAAUUUCUAAUUUUAAGGUCACACGGCUAAUACAUAUAUAACACAAAGUGUCGUCAGAGUCUUUUGGCAUUGGUGUCAUACUAAUCUUGUUUGAAUUCUCUACUCCGAUUAUUUUCUAUUACUUUGAGAAUUCAUGAAGUCAUUCAUAGACCUAUUUAACACAUAAUUGAUGCCUGUGUUUUAUAUUUACACUUUAUUAAAACUGUUGUAAAAGAAAAAAAAAACAGACAUAAUCAUAUUUUCGUUUUAUAGUUACGGUUUGCAAGCAUGAAUUCUCACCUCCGUUGAUCUCUUUAAAUUAAUUCGAAGCUUCAAUUCAAAGUGGGUAGAAGAAAUUGUAAACAGAGCAAGAGGUUUAGCUUGGAAUUCAGAAAAAAGUCUUGAAGCUUCACCCUUUCAUCAAUUCUUGAUUUUUUCUUCAAUUUGAUUAAGGGGGAUUACCACUAAAUGACUGUUUUAUCUUUAUCUAUUUUAUGAGCAUGUUGUUGCUUUAUGAAAUUUUUAGAGAUUCUUAGUUUAUGCAAUCUAUUUUAUGUGUUUCUGUCAAUCGCACUUUUGCUGCUGCGUAUUUAUCUGGUUUUGUGUUUGUGUCAGUUUCUGCAUAAUAUCUGCAUUCGUUUAGGUUUCCUUGUAGUUUCUUGUUUAAUGCAAUUACUACAUAAUUGCAUUUCUAUUUUUCAUGUUUCAUUAGUUAAUGUUAUUGCUCUUUUUAGAUUUUAUUUCUGCAUAAUACAUUCUUUAAUGAUUUCUACUUGGCUACUGGUUAGAACUAACAAUUAAAAAUAAAAGAUCUUAAAUAAGGGCAGGUCUUUAAAAAAUACCAUUAUAAUUUUCAACGUAACAUGCUUCUCUAUUUUACAUCUCUUUGUUAUAUAUAUUCAAAUUGGUGAGGUAUUUGAGAUUCUAGAGGGUGAUAAAUGCCUUCCUGAAGAACAAUUGCAAAGCUUAUAAAUGCCUUCCUGAAGAACAAUUACAUCUCCAAAUGUGGUCUUCCUGGAAACUCAGGUGGCAGACAAAUUAAAUCUUGUUCUGGUUUUGCUUGCAUGCAAUGUAAAUUUGAAUCCCUCUAAUAUCUCUUUUGUUUAGAACCUUCUCCUUAUGUCUAUGGUUUUUUUUUUUUUUUAAAUUUAUAAAGAUGAGCAUAUUUCUUAUUCAAAUUUACUAAUUUAGAGAAGGGUUCAUUGGAUUUGAAACUUGUUAUCAUACUUAUGCAUAUGUCAUCUUCAUUUAUUUGUGUGGAUUUACAGGGUUGUAUAUGGAUUUGUUAUGUUUGCAACUUAUUUUCUUUUAUUUUCAAUAGGCUACAUAUGCUUCUUGUACAGUUUCUUUGGAAACAAAUAGGUGAUGGAAAGAAAUGGGAGCUGCAGAGAAGAACCGAUCGAUGGCGGAAUUUUCAUGGAAAUAUAUGUGCUCUACCUAAUGGUCAGUGUAACAACUUGAAGGCACCAUGAUUUCUAGUCAUAGUUUAAAAUUGUUUGAUGUAAAAGGUCGAAACUAAAGCAUUAAGGUAAAAUAUAAUUCACUUUAACUGUUAUUACUUUUUGGGUAUUAACAGCAUUGCAACUGUUAUAUAAUCUUAGGAAAUCAAUAUUGUACAUUACUUUUUCAGCACUAUCAUCUUUUUAUCAUGCCAUAUCGCACUACUAGGUUUGCACAAACCUUGGGGUCAUUAAUUCAUUUUUUCCAAACUUAAACUAAUGCAUUUCAUUAUCAUAUCACAUGUAUUACACAUACAAGAGGUAAACACAUCUUAAGAACUUCUUAUUGAUGUAUAGUAAAACAUAAAAGCAAGCAAACAAACAAACAUACAUAAUAACAAGACCAUGACGAUGAGGGAAUUUGACAACUUCACACAUUUUAUUCAGAGCAAAGCAACAUACCAUCAAAUUCUUUAGAUGGAGAUACUAUUAGGAAUGCCUCUGCAAGUCAAUCCUUUCUCACUAGAAGGAUAAAGCAGAGUGUAUGGCAUAUUCACAGGCCCGUAUCGGUUUCUCAAUGACUCAUCAUUGUUCCUUUCAAUGAGCUUUACCUCAAUUUCAGCCAACUUCCUUCCAAACCUCUUGAAAGCUUCUAAUGGCUGUGAAUCUGAAGUCCAAACCUCGCCUUCAUUUCUCUGUCCAAGGUAUUGCUCAUCAGAAGCAUGCCUUGAUAAGACCUCUAAGAUCGUAAGGUCAGUGAGGGUAUCAUUUUUUGGUGUGAUUGUCCUUAGAUACACCUUUUGAAAGUUCUUAGAAAGCUCGGCAUACUCAGCAGACCCUUUCUCAGGCAUGUGUCUCCG
rnacentral:lncRNA from 1 species